UGAUGAAAAAAUGAGUAAAUUAAUGUUGGAAUUGUAAUUUUCACGAAAAACUUGUAAACAAAACAAAAACUUAGAAAAAUGACAUAGAACUAGUAAAUUCACAUUAAGUGUGAAAUAAAACAUAAAAUAUGUAAACAACACAUAAAACAAGUAAAUUAAUGAAAAAAAUGGUAAAUUAAUGUUUGAAUUGUAAUUUGCACGAAGAACUUGUAAACAAAACAAAAACUUAGAAAAUGACAUAGAACUAGUAAAUUGACAUUAAUUGUGAAAUAAAACAAAAAAUGUGUAAAUCACACAUAAAACUAGUAAAUUGAUGAAAAAAUGAGUAAAUUAAUGCUGUAGUUGUAAUUUGUACGAAAAACUUGUAAACAAAACAAAAACUUAGAAAAAUGACAUAGAACUAGCAAAUUCACAUUAAGUGUGAAAUAAAACAUAAAAUAUGUAAACAACACAUAAAACAAGUAAAUUAAUGAAAAAAAUGGUAAAUUAAUGUUGGAAUUGUAAUUUGCACGAAGAACUUGUAAAUAAAACAAAAACUUAUAAAAAUGACGUAGAACUAGUAAAUUCACAUUAAUUGUGAAAUAAAACAAAAAAUGUGUAAACCACACAUAAAACUAGUAAAUUAAUGAAAAAAAUGGUAAAUUAAUGCUGUAGUUGUAAUUUGUACGAAGAACUUGUAAACAAAACAAAAACUUAGAAAAAUGACAUAGAACUAGUAAAUUCACAUUAAGUGUGAAAUAAAACACAAAAUUUGUAAACCACACAUAAAACUCGUAAAUUAAUGAAAAAAUGGUAAAUUAAUGUUGGAAUUGUAAUUUGCACGAAGAACUUGUAAACAAAACAAAAACUUAUAAAAAUGACAUAAAACUAGUAAAUUGAUAUUAAUUGUGAAAUAAAACAAAAAAUGUGUAAAUCACACAUAAAACUAGUAAAUUAAUGAAAAAAAUGGUAAAUUAAUAUUGGAAUUUUAAUUUGCACGAAGAACUUGUAAACAAAACAAAAACUUAGAAAAAUGACAUAGAACUAGUAAAUUGACAUUAAUUGUGAAAUAAAACAAAAAAAUGUGUAAAUCACACAUAAAACUAGUAAAUUGAUGGAAAAAUGAGUAAAUUAACGUUGGAGUUGUAAUUUGUACGAAUAACUUGUAAACAAAACAAAAACUUAGAAAAAUGACAUAGAACUAGUAAAUUCACAUUAAGUGUGAAAUAAAACAUAAAAUAUGUAAACCACACAUAAAACUAGUAAAUUAAUGAAACAAAUGGUAAAUUAAUGUUGGAAUUGUAAUUUGCACGAAGAACUUGUAAACAAAACAAAAACUUAGAAAAUGACAUAGAACUAGUAAAUUGACAUUAAUUGUGAAAUAAAACAAAAAAUGUGUAAAUCACACAUAAAACUAGUAAAUUGAUGAAAAAAUGAGUAAAUUAAUGCUGUAGUUGUAAUUUGUACGAAAAACUUGUAAACAAAACAAAAACUUAGAAAAAUGACAUAGAACUAGUAAAUUCACAUUAAGUGUGAAAUAAAACAUAAAAUAUGUAAACAACACAUAAAACAAGUAAAUUAAUGAAAAAAAUGGUAAACUAAUGUUGGAAUUGUAAUUUGCACGAAAAACUUAUAAAUAAAACAAAAACUUAUAAAAAUGACGUAGAACUAGUAAAUUCACAUUAAUUGUGAAAUAAAACAAAAAAUGUGUAAACCACACAUAAAACUAGUAAAUUAAUGAAAAAAAUGGUAAAUUAAUGAUGUAGUUGUAAUUUGUACGAAGAACUUGUAAACAAAACAAAAACUUAGAAAAAUGACAUAGAACUAGUAAAUUCACAUUAAGUGUGAAAUAAAACAUAAAAUUUGUAAACCACACAUAAAACUCGUAAAUUAAUGAAAAAAUGGUAAAUUAAUGUUGGAAUUGUAAUUUGCACGAAGAACUUGUAAACAAAACAAAAACUUAUAAAAAUGACAUAAAACUAGUAAAUUGAUAUUAAUUGUGAAAUAAAACAAUAAAUGUGUAAAUCACACAUAAAACUAGUAAAUUAAUGAAAAAAAAUGGUAAAUUAAUAUUGGAAUUUUAAUUUGCACGAAGAACUUGUAAACAAAACAAAAACUUAGAAAAAUGACAUAGAACUAGUAAAUUGACAUUAAUUGUGAAAUAAAACAAAAAAAUGUGUAAAUCACACAUAAAACUAGUAAAUUGAUGGAAAAAUGAGUAAAUUAACGUUGGAGUUGUAAUUUGUACGAAUAACUUGUAAACAAAACAAAAACUUAGAAAAAUGACAUAGAACUAGUAAAUUCACAUUAAGUGUGAAAUAAAACAUAAAAUAUGUAAACCACACAUAAAACUAGUAAAUUAAUGAAACAAAUGGUAAAUUAAUGUUGGAAUUGUAAUUUGCACGAAGAACUUGUAAACAAAACAAAAACUUAGAAAAUGACAUAGAACUAGUAAAUUGACAUUAAUUGUGAAAUAAAACAAAAAAUGUGUAAAUCACACAUAAAACUAGUAAAUUGAUGAAAAAAUGAGUAAAUUAAUUACCUGCUACUUAGGUAACAUGUUACCUAUUUAUUUAGAAUUAAUGGUAGAGAUUUUUUAUUCAAAUCUAACAGUCCACGUCCAUUACGGCAUCAAUGCCGUAAAUUUAGUUACGGCAUUAUAGAAUGACCCAUGAAAACGACAUUUGAAAAGAAAAAUACAAACGCACCUUUUCAUUUGAUGUGCAUUACUAGAACAAUUUUUGACAAAGAUCAUUUGAUGUGCAUUACUAGAACAAUUUUUGACAAAGAUGUUACAACCGAAAGAAUGAAAAGGUCUAAAGUUUUAGGGUGAACAUGGACGAAUUGAUGACACGACAUGUUUUACAGCUCAAUGUCGUUAAUUAAUAUAUAUAAUUGAGUAAUUUCAUCUCUAUAUUAAGCACGCGCCGCCUCAAAUUGCAUGCAAAUACAAAAACAAACUUUUGAAUUUGUUUUUUGAAUUUUUAGGUUAACAAUUGAUUUUUUAUUUUACAUUUUUUUGUUUUUAUUUAACAAUUAAUUUUAAUCAAAUCUUAAACUGUCGUAAUCAAUUAAGAUUUUUCAUUAUGACUCCUUAGCUAAAUUUUGCUCCUUAACUAGAUUUUGGAUCUGUAAUAAAUAAAAAAAUUGGUAACAUUUGUUCCUUUAAGAUAUAUGUUUGAGGGAAAAAUAGGAAAGGCAAUAAAGCGCUACGUGUUAACUAAUGGAAUGAUUCCGACACAAUUUGAGGUACCCCACACAAUUAAAGGUACCCUAUAUAAAUAGAGAUACCCCAUGUAAAUAGAGGUACCCACACAAUCAGAGGUACCCCGUACAAUUAGAGGUACCCCACGUAACUCGAGGUACCUUCGAAAAUAUCCGCCAUGAGAAACGUCUCCGCCUCCUAAAAGAUAUUAUUCGAUUUUAUCAGAAUUAAGAAUAAAAAACGACGCCCUAAAAGGAGGGACAGCCGCCUGCGACCUCUGCCAAAAGUGAAGGACACUGUCCCAAGGAUAGUGGUCCCCAACCGCCUACUCGACAGCUACUGCAAAGGUACCCUGGACCACUCUCCAGUGCGCGCCACGUUUCUAAAAGAUGAGAUAUGCCGCGAACAUACAGAUAACGGCCAAAAAAAUUAUAAAGAGGUAAAAGGACGUUAGCCAAAAAGGGUAUGCCACGUGGCAGCUGAGGUACUCCAUAUAUAAAGGCGCCUAGGUUUCAUUUUCCAUCAGGCUCUCAUUCGCCUAAAAAACACUCACACUCCAAAAAUAGGUUUUUUUAACCUUAAACCCUAAUUUAUAGAGGGCUAGCCAGCUCUCUUUACCAUAAAAGCUUGAGUUUGCUAACUUGAGCGUCGGAGUAUGAACGCCAGGUUACCCCGGCUUCACCUCUAACCUCUAUUUCACUGUUUUGUAGGCGUGAAGCUCAUUUUGAAGGACACCUCUCUUGUUUUUGACCUUCCACCAUUAUUACCACUCUCUCUCCCCUUCUCACCUCCCCCGAAUUUCAGAUACACUGCACCGCACCGCACACAAUAUACUAGUGAGGUACCCCAUCUCCCCCAAAAAUAUAAAUUCAUUGUUCUAGAUUGGUUUGACUUUUCCUACCCCAAAAUCAGUUGAAAACAAUUGGCGCCGUUUGUGGGAAGUCGCACAAAAAGCCUCAUCUGCGAUUACCAAACUAGUUGUUGUGUGUGCUCCAAUACAUAGCACCCGACGUACCUCCCGAAGGUUUAAUGGGGGAUCCUACAAGAAUAAGAGAUGACAGCAGCAGUGAAGGAAGUGAUCCCGCAAGAAGGGUAGCCCGCAUCAGCAAAGCAAGGGUAUCAAGUAAUCGACGGGUGUUCGCCAAGAUGAGGAACCUAUUUCUCACAAGCGUUUUGAAGAUCUUGCCCACGCAAUACUUAGGGCGUUUGGAUCUCGGGCACCCGAAAGUUCACUUCCACCAGUGACGCUAGAUGCUCCACCACCUCAAAUGGGCGACCAAGCUAUGGUCAGAAAAGAGGUACCCGAGGCCAGCAAACUAAAGCAUAGGCCAUUGGGUACCCGUUCUAAGUUUCAAACCAUGGGCUUCCGCGACAAGCGUUCCACCGCCUCUUGCAAUUCCCGUAGCAGCCAGGGUACGAGGCGUGCAAAGCAUACCCACGAGGAUCUUCGUGAGAAGUUAAACGCCAAAAAGGCUUCUCAAAUGACGGCGACAUUAUCGGGUACACCGAGGGUACCCCUCGAACUUGUGGAAAAGAUGGAGAACCUGGAAGCCCAAGUGAAGCUCCUCUCCAAGAAGCAAAACAUCACAGCUGCACCAACGCCAAUGACCUACCAAUCUCCAUUCACUAUGGAAAUUAGGACAGUAGCUCUCCCCGAGGCGUUCGUCAUGCCUCAGAUACUCCAAUACUCGGGUACCACUGAUCCCUCGGAGCAUGCUGAGCUAUACUGUGAUCAAACACUUAUCAAAGGUGUAGAUGAGAGCGCCAUGUGUAGGAUGUUUACACACACACUCACGGGCCCCGCGAAGUCGUGGUUUCGCUCUUUGAAAGCGGGUAACAUAUCUUCCCUACACCAAUUGCUAUUCGAAUUUACUAAACAGUUUUCCUACGCCUCCACUCAAGAUAGGGUAACCUCCAAACUUGGCUUUAUCAAGCAAGGGGAAGCCGAGCCUUUGGCGAAGUACGUGAGUCGUUUCCACUAAGAGGUGUUGCGAACCGGGGUAUUUGGAAACCAAUACACAUUGACCCAUUUUGAGAAAAAUUUAAAGCUGGGCAAGUUAUGGCGUUCUUUUCAAAAGAAGAGCCCACUCUCAUAUGGGGAUGCCCGUUCCCGAGCGUUCCAGCAGGUGGAAAUGGACGAAAAAUGCCAAUUGAAGCGCCAAGAAGAUAAGGCUGAUGUUACAAAGAACAAGGAGAAACCCAAGAGGGUGGAGGCCCCAAUACCACGGGUACUCUGAGCACGAAGCCCUCCACGGGCUGCCCUGCGGGGACGAGGGUAUAACCCUCAGGAUACCUCAAGGGUACCCCAACCUCCAAGAACGCCACCACCGGAUCAGCGAGAGCCACCACCGAGGCCUCGGUACGAAUCUUACCAGAAUCGAUCCCCAGAGCAUAUCUUCUACCAUAUUCGGGAUAGCGGCCUCCUCCGUCCUCCUAAGCCAAUGAAGAAGUACCCCAACAUGAAGCGUAGCCUGAAGUAUUGCGAGUUCCAUGAGGACUUUGGUCACAGCACAGCCGAGUGCUUCACCUUGCGAGAGGAAAUUAAAUCUUUGAUUCUCAGCGAGUACCUCAAAGAAUUUAUUGCUGGCAUGAGAAAAGCUCGGAAAUCUGCGGAACAAGAUAAAGGCAAGCGGGUAGCUGAUGGCAGUCCUGAACGAGAGGUACCCCCUGGACACAAAAAAUGCGUGUAUGUCUGAAUGAUCAUGGGCGGACCGACUUUAGCGGGCCAAUCUAGGAGGGCUAUUAAAAGUUAUGGUAGAUUGUUGUUAAUAACCACCAAUAUUGGCAGAGAAAUCAACCUUAAUGAAUGGGGUACACCGAAGGUACCCCACCGUGUUGUUCAUAUGAUUGAUUUUCUUAUUGUAGAUCACCCGGGUGCCUACAAUAUUAUAUUGGGUAGGCCUUUCUUAAAAGCAACUAAAGCGGUGGUAUCCAUGCACUACCUCGCCAUGAAAGUCCCGGUUGCCCAAGAAGUUAUCACCAUUAAAGGGGACAAGCAAUCGGCUCGUGGAUGUUAUUCCGUGGCCUCCAAAGUCACUUACCAAAUAGCUUCCGAUCCGCCAAUGAAAGGGUAUCCCAGUAGCAGCCAGCCCACACCUUCCCCCUCAAAGCGAGCACUUGCUAGACAGCGGAGAGCAGUACUAAAAAAAUCUCCUAAAGUAGCCCACCCACAAAAACAGUUGGAGUCUUCACCAAUGGGAGUAGAAGCAGUUACGGGGGAUAAGUUGAGGGUAUCCCACGGGGACCAGGAGGAGCCCAGAUGUGAAGUUGAGGUACUUUUGGAUCCCUGAAUAUUGAAAGAUGAAAAGCGGGGUACCCUAGUUGAAGACCUUAUUUCAGUCUCGAUUUGUGCCACAGACCCAACAAAGACUGUGAAAAUAGGCUUCAAUCUUUCGGAGGAACAAAGAGAGAGGUUCAUAACCUUCCUACGCGAGCACUACGACAUAUUCGCCUGGUCCCACUCGGAUAUGCCAGGUAUCCCACCUUCUCUCUCUUGUCAUAAACUCAAUGUCAGCUCGCAUUAUAAAUCGGUCAAACAAAAGCGUCGCACCUUCAACCACGAGAGGUACGAUGCAAUUAAACAAGAGGUAGACCGCCUAUUAGCAGCGAGGUUUAUUCGGGAAACAGUGUACCCCGAUUGGGUAUCUAACAUUGUUCUUGUCAAGAAAUCAAAUAGAAAGUAGCGUAUAUGUGUGGACUUCACCGAUUUGAACAAGUCCUGCUCCAAGGAUAGCUUCCCGCUUUCCCGGGUAGACCAGCUGGUUGAUGUAACAGCGGGGCAUGAGAUGCUUAGUUUUAUGGACGCCUUCUCCGGGUAUAACCAAAUUUCGAUGUAUGAACCCGAUCAAGAGAAAACGACCUUCAUCACCAACCAGGGGUCAUACUGUUAUAAGGUUAUGCCGUUUGGUUUGAAGAAUGCCGGGGCUACCUAUCAGCGGCUAAUGAACAAAAUUUUCAAGGAACAAAUCGGGCGCACCAUGGAGGUGUACAUAGACGACAUGAUCACAAAAUCAGUGCAUACGGGGGAACACCUGGGACACCUCAGAGAUACCUUUAUCGUUUUGAGAAGACACCAGAUGCGGUUUAACCCUGAAAAAUGUGCAUUCGGGGUCACCUCAGGAAAGUUUCUCUGGUUCAUGGUACAACAACGGGGGAUUGAAGCCAACCCCGAUAAAAUUCACACAGUUCUUGACAUGAAAUCGCCAAGCACCGUCAAAGAGGUUCAAAGCUUGGUAGGCCGGGUAGUUGCCCUGAGUUGCUUUAUCUCCAAGGCUACCGACCGGUGUAAGUCUUUUUUCAAAGCUUUGAAGACCGACAAGAAGCUCCAAUGGACACCCGAUUGCGAAGAAGCUUUCCAAGAACUGAAGGGGUACCUCGUGAAUGCUCCAGUACUUACCAAACCUGAGCUGGGAGAGGUGCUUCUGUUGUAUCUCGUCGUAUCCGAGCAUGCCACCAGCUCUGUGCUACUCCGAGAAGAUGAGAAUGGGGUACAACGACUUAUUUACUACACUAGUAAAGCUAUUGUUGAUGCCGAAAAGAGGUACCUCACCUCUGAGAAGAUCAUUUUGGCAUUGGUUGUCUCCGCACGGAAGCUCAAACCAUAUUUUCAGGCUCACACCAUUGUAGUCGUCACCAACCUUCCCCUCUGACAAAUCCUCCAAAAAUUAGACAUGUCUGGAAGGCUUCUCCGAUGGUCCCUCAAAUUAAGCAAGUUCGACAUCAUCUUCAAGCCUCGUUCCGCGAUUAAAGCCCAGGCCAUCGCGGAAUUCGCCAAUGACUCAAGUGGUGAAGGUGAUUUGAGAUACAUGUUAGAUACCCCACCCACCGAUGAAGAGGAGCAGGUCUGGGAAAUAUAUAUGCAUGGUUCCUCUAAUUCACGCGGAAGUGGUGCGGGCAUUAUUAUUAUCGACCCGAACAAGGUGAAAAUAUGCUACGCUUUGCAAUUUGGAUUCAAAGUUUCAAACAACGAAGUCGAAUAUGAGGCCAUCAUAGCGGGGUUGAAGAUGUCGAAGGCUUUGGGAGCGAAAAGAGUACACGUCAAGAGCGACUCCCAGUUGGUGAUAAGCCAAAUUACCGCACAAUAUCAAGCGAAAGAGGAAAACAUGAAAGGGUACCUCGGAAAAACCAGAGAGUUGAUGUCCCAAUUUUGUGAGGUUAAGGUGGAAAGGGUACCCCGACUGGAGAACAGCGAAGCCGACACCUUGGCGAAAAUGGCGUCCCUUGGGGUAGCCCAGUCAUCUGGCCCCAUCACAACAUAACACAUACCUGCAUCCAGUGUUGGUCUCCCAAAGCCAUUGGAAGUAAGAUCACUGUCCAAUGAGGUGUUUUGGAUGGAGCCUAUCAUAAGGUACCUCAAGAACGGAGACCUCCCCUUAGAUAAAAGUGAAGCAAGAAGACUAAAGUAUAAAAUCGCACAGUAUUGCCUGAUCCAGAAUACCCUAUACAGAAGAGAGUUCACUCUUCCUUACCUUAAAUGCUUGGAAAACGACGAGGCCGAGUAUGUCAUGAGGGAGAUACAUGAGGGGAUUUGUGGCAAUCACUAUGGACCACAAUCACCGGUGCAAAAAGCCCUCCGUCAGGGGUUGGCCAACCAUGCAGGAAGAUGCCAAGAAUAUGGUACGAAACUGUAACAAAUGUCAAAGGUUUGCCAGGGUACCCCACCUACCCUAGAGAAGCUAACAGUUAUAUCUUCCUUUUGGCCCUUCGCUAUAUGGGGAGUGGAUCUCAUUGGACCGUUACCUACCAGAAAGGGGCAAGCAAAACAUGCAAUUGUGGCGGUAGAUUUUUUUAUAAAAUGGGCGGAAGCGGAGCCACUAAUAAGCAUUACAGAAAGGAAAACUACCAAAUUCAUUUGGAAGAACCUCAUUUGCAGAUUUACGAUCCCCUAUGCAAUUGUUAGUGAUAACGACAAGCAAUUUGAUAAUGAAAAUUUUAAAAACUUUUAUUCGAAGUUGGGGAUAGCCAACCGAUUUGCUACACCUGCCCACCCCCAAUCUAAUGGGCAAGUCCAGGCCGUUAACAAGAUUAUCAAAGGUAUCCUGAAGAAGAAGCUAGAAGAAAGAAUAUGAGCAUGGGUAGACGAGCUACCUGGGGUUCUGUAGGCUUACCGGACUACUCAAAACACUUCCACCAGGGAGACCCCGUUUUUCCUCGCAUUCGGUGUUGAUACAGUGAUUCUAGCAGAAAUCGGGGUACCUUCUCACAGGGUUGAAUACUUUGAUGAGGCCGAGAACACCUCAUUGGUUGCUUCAAACCUUGAUUUGGUGGCUGAAAAAAGGGCUAAAGCAGAAUUGAGGACAGCCAUAUAUCAGCAUCGCAUUUCGGGUCUAUAUGAAAAAAGGGUACGCCCUCGAUCCUUCAAGAAAGGAGACUUCUUGAGAAGGAUAACUCAGAAUACUAGGGUACCCUGCGAAGGCACUUUUGGGGCAAAUUGGGAAGGACCCUACCGCAUCGACAAACCCAUUGAGACAGGUGCAUACAGGCUACUCCACAUGGAUGGCACAAUCGUGAGGCACCCUUGGAAUAUUGCAAUGCUACGGAAAUAUUACUAAAGGAAAAUGUCUUAACCUCUAGUCUUUUUCUGAUUAUUUACUUUCUUUAAUGUCUUUGUGUGGUAGGCCAAAUGGGGUACCCCAAAUGCCCUAUGUUGGUCAGUUGCAACUUUAGAGUUUCUUUAAUUUUCAAAUGAAAAGGAUAGGAGGCCUUGCGGUCUCUCAUUCUCCUUAGGGUAACAAAACUAAGUCAUGUAUUGAUCAACGCUUUCGUUAUCUAUAAAUGCAUUUUCUUUCUCAACAAAUAUGAUGUGGGUUCUUUCUCUAUUUUUCGCCACUUUGAUCUUAGAAUGCGGAUUAUAUUCAUUUAUCGCCAUUAAUAUACCCUCGCAUAUGGUUAUAUGCAAUUCUCGCCAUACGCUUGUCAAUUAUGACUAACCUAUCACAGGACCAGCCAGGGUACCUGAUAUGCCUAGAUCGUGACGAUCUAUGUAAAGCCAAUAUGGGCAACAAAGUGAACAGCCUUUCUGCGGAAACAUGACAAAGCCACCUAAACAAAGAGAUGGAGGGUCAAAGAGGACCCGAGGGUGGAGUAAAACCGGCAUACCCUAGCACCAUGAGGUUCAGCUUAGGUAUGAGUACACUCACACUUCCGUCCUCUUACUUGAGUAAAGUAGGGGGUAAGCUAUUCAAAAAUUCAGAGAGAACUUCUAAGGAAUAAGAAAGUGAUUGGUUGGACCAAUUGCGCACUUUCAAUUUUUGAUCGAGAUGUCGCGAUGAUGUUUUGAUUACCUAUUUGUGGGAAAUCUGCCAUGGUUGCCGAGAAGGGUAUGCACCAAAUUCGCCGAUUUGUGUAAACCAGCAGGCGCCUGAUGUUGAAUAUUUUUUAAGGUACCAGGGGUACCCCAUUUAAAAAAGAAAAAAGAGGUACCCUAGACAUUCACAAGAUAACAGUUUAGCCAAGCAUUCAUUUGCAGAAUAACAAGCAUACAAAGUACAAGAAGACUCGGUGGCAUGGUAUCAUAACAAAGGAGAAGUCCCAAUAAUACAAAAUAUCCCAAGAAACCAAAAAGAAAGAAACAAGGUCCAAAUAACAAAAUAUGGAUAGAUCCAAAAAAAUAAGAGCACAACAAAAAGGCUACACUGAGGGGGGAACGCCAUCCCCAACAUCUGUCUCCAGAGGGCGAUCAGCAGAGGACUCCGAAGUACCCGGAAUAUGAGCAGCUGAAGUAUGAGCAUCCGAGGCAGGCAACGGCUGAAGCGCACGGGGUACCCUAGGCGACCCGGAAGGGGUACCCUACCGUGCCUGGGAAGACUUCUUCCUUUCUGCAAUUGUCUUCAGAAUCGUAGCCUUGUUGACAAAUUUCUGCACACGGGGUACCUCCAGUUCUGGAUCCACACUCUACACCUCUGUCAUGAUAAGUGAGAAUGCAUCCUCCGCCAUUGUCUUUUGUCGAGAUAGCAGAUCUCCGUUGGUGGCCCUCAACUCCUCACAAUCCUUCUCCAUCCGAGCUUUCUCUCCCGACAGGCCAGCAAUGCGUUCUUGCAAAGUCUUAACUUCUCGAGCAAGAUGAUCCUCGCGAGAUUGAUGGCUUUGGAGCUCACUCCUUAACUUAUCGACCUCUGACUGGGCGACAACAAGGGAGUCGAGGUCGGAAAGGCAGUGGCUAAGGAGAAAUGAUGCUUGCGGGUCAUGAAAGACAUGUUAAAUAUAUAUGUAUGGUAAUAGGAUUAAAUAAGUAAAAAAAAUAAUGAAGGGUACACCCGGGGUACCCCAGAAAAGCCUACCUCUUGGGUAGUCCUAAGUGCUUGACCAUAGCGCUGACUCAAACUCAUCUUGUCAGCCUCUUCAGCAACCUCGGAGGUGACAUUUUCAGCAGAGUAGUAAAAACAGCGAGCCAUGUGUGAAACCUCCUUAUUGGCAGCUGGGUCUAGGUCACAUUCGCAUAACUCAUCGAGGAAAGUGGAAACUAGCCCGAAUUUUGUUUUCCUUGAGCGAGGGGUAUCCUUCGACCUGCUGUGGGAGGUACCCUGAGAUUUCCCCUUUGGAGCGGGAGCUGGAGGAGGUCAGGAGCCUUUCGGGGGUACCACCGAAUCCUGAGAUCUGGAAGCACCGCCCACUACUCCUUGGAAAAAGGAGUAAAAAGCGUCACCCGCUGAUUCCAUAAUUGCACCCAAUGCACAAACGUUGUGUUAGCCGGACAAGUACUAAGUACUACAAAAGCCAAAAUGGGAAAUGAAAAGUGGGGAAACAAAAUAAAGAUACGGUGAUAACGGGGUACUCUAGUACCGUAGAUAAUAAUAGAGUACCCCUCGACACCCGAAUCAUACAUGAGUCACCCCCGGGAGCAGAUGGAGGACUUCGGUUAAUCAGCCCCACUCUCCACAAUCUACUCUCCUCCAGCACAUCACUACCCCUUUGUGCACCUCGAAACCUGUCCACAAACUUCUUCAUCUCCCUCCCCACCUCUUGAACUGGGCAUGAUCCUUUAGCCCAUGUCACACCUGCAAAAGCAUAAAGAACCCAGGGUUAGCGAGACAUUGAGGCGAAAGACUCCGAUAAAGAACUAUAAGUAAGGGAGAUACUUACAGUCUACAUUGAAGAAAUGAGGAACCUCCACGGGGUUGCCCUUUUCACCCAAAGUCUCUGUCCCCCACCUACCCUCAGCAACGAACCAUCCCUUUCGGUAACCCUUCUUCAAGGCGGGGUUCCCCUCAACAAUAUGGCCAUGAUCCCCCCAAGGGGAGAAGUAAGCAAUACCGAGACCCUUAGGCUUUUUAAAUUGAUAAAGGCCCCUCAACUCCUGAACAGAAAUGUUGUGCUUCAAGACCUCCAACCAUAACACAUGUAAUCCUGUGAGUGUCCUCCACCCCAGAAGGGACAGCUGCCCGGGAGCUACCCGCAAGUAACUAAACAUUCUCAUAUAGAAAGGUUGGAGGGGCAGCGGAAUCCUAGAUCAAAAAGGUCAAUAUGGAGAGCAAUCCCAUCAGACUUCGGACACUCAGGUCGCUUAUCUACAUGGGGUACCCUAAGCUGAACAGAAGGAGAAAUAUUGUAUUUAGCUCUAAUUUUUUCUAAGUCCCCCAAGGUAGCCCUCCUAGAGCCUAGGAAAAAAAAAGUUGCCAGAUUUUGAAGGUGUGGCAGGGGGAGAUUUGGGAGGCUAGUCCGAGGAACGAACGGGAACCUUGGGUUUAGAUGACUUACUCUUCUUUCGAGGAUGGGGGAUUGGCUGUUUACUAGGAAAGCGUGGGCUGACACGAGGGGUACUCCUAGGGGGAGGGGGUUCAGAAUGAGAAUUACAACUCCUAGAGGAAUUAGGGGGGACCGAUCCCCCUCGUUAAUGGAGAUGUGGGAAGGGGAACCCGCAGGAGGGCUGUCAACCCUACUAGCCCCAACUGCAUGUCGCUUCCUCAGGGGUAUCGUGUGUUUCUUGCCCAUCUACUUUCCCCCAACGACAUAUCCACCAGGCCACAAGUCCCCAACAAUACACCCAACGAUACACCCAACAAUACACCCAACAAUAUAUCCAACAAGCCACAAGUUCCCCAAACAACACAUCCACAAGCCCCCAACAACACAUCCACAAGCCCCCAACAACACAUCCAACAAGCCACAUGUUUCCCAAACAGCAACAUAUUCAUACCAAGCACCAUCCACCACACAUCAACCACCAAAUGCAAACACCAACCAACAAAAAAAAAAACAAAAACAACAAAAACCAAAAAUAAAUUUUUCUCGGAGUAUGCAAAAUAGUGCCACUGUGAAUAUGCCAAAGGAGGAGAAGCAAAGAGGGAUACCUGUGAUUCACCAAUUCGGCAGAUCAAGAUUGAUAAUCGCAGCGAGACGAAGCUGCAGGCAACCAAAAAUAGUGGGUAAAAAUAUGCAAGUAUAAAAAUAAAAAUAAGCUUAAAUAUAUAUAGUUAUUUAUAAAUAAAUGAAUGAAUAAAAUGAAGAACGAAGAAGCUGCAGCAACCGGCGUCAGCUGUCAUGGCUGCAACCACCGAGAACCGACGCCGGAGAUCACGAGAAGGAUGCCGAAAACCACCAAAAGAGGACGCCGACCGAAACCAAAAAAAAAAAAAAAGGAGCUUGGAGAUAUAAAAAAAAGUCAGAAUAAAAAAAAAAAGAAAGGGAAGAGCUUGGAUGAUAAAAAAAAAAUGGGAGAAGCCUGAAGAUAAAAAAAAAAAAAAAAGAGGAAGUAAAAAAAAAAGAAGAGCUUGAAGAUAUAAAAAAAAGAAGUCAGAAUUAAAAAAAAAAAAAAAGGAAGCUUGAAGAUAUAAAAAAGGAAGCUUGGAGAUAUAUAUAAAAAAAAAAGAGGAAGUCAAAAAAAAAAAGGAAGCCUAGAGAUUAAAAAAAAAAAAAAAGAGAAAAGCCUCCAGGAUGAUUUAGAAGAAAAAGAGAGGAGCAUAGAUAAAAAAAAAAAAAAGAGGCCACAUGAAGAGACGAAGAAGCAAAAUGGGGGGUAGAAGAUGGCUUACCACAAAGAGAUCACUGCACCACCAGCCGAACGCCGUCGUCACGCCACCGGAACAUCUCGGUAGACGCCGCCGUCACAAGGCCAGCCAAAAAAAAAAGAAAAAAAAAGAGGAAGAUGAAGAAAAGAGAAAGAAAAUGACAGUGAUAAAAAAAAAAGGGGUGUGAAAGUUGCCUGGAAGGAAUUAAAGAAAAGACAAAGGAAGGAAUGCAAAAGAAAAAGAAAAUGUGACAGUAGGCUGGGAGCAAAGAAAAAAAAAAGGGAGAUGGAAGACGAAAGGACAAGAAGAAAAAAGUAGAAUAAAGAAGAAAAAGUGGAGAUGGGGAGGCGUUGGAAUGUGAAAAGUUUUUGGGGAUGGCAAAAUGAAAAAGAAUAAAGGGUGAAUGAAAACGUGCAGAAGGUGAUUUAUUUAAAAAAAUGUGAAGUUGGUGGUUGAAAUGAUUUGACUAGUUUUUGAAUUUUAAAAGCCAAAGCAAGCAAGAAGCCACUGGAAGUAAUGGGAGAUUAUGUUGGGAUUUUCAAAAUAAAUGAGAGAAAAUUGACACACGUCAGGAGUUUUUAAUUCAACUUGACAGAACACGCUGCCCAAGAAAGAAGUUAAGGGAUGUUUGCGUGAGAUUGAUAUUUUCAAAAUUUAAACUGCAUGUCAGACAGCUGCCACUUCCCAAGAAAAAGGAGAGAGACAUAUGAAGACAACUGUUUGUUCUCAUCGUAAAAAAAAAAGGGGUGGUAAAAGGAAAAGACAGAGAGAAGAUUUUUUAAUUCGAAGUACACAAAGUUUAGUCAAGGGAAGAAACUCAGUAAGGUACCCCCAGUCCAGCCACGUCGCCACGUGUCACUCAUACAAUGAGUUUCUUUUGCCUCCAAUAAUUCUCGCCAAAAAGAAACUAGGAGGAUGUUGUUUGAGGGAAAAAUAGGAAAGGCAAUAAAGCGCCACGUGUCAACCAAUUGAAUGAUUCCGGCACAAUUUGAGGUACCCCGCACAAAUAGAGGUACUCCACACAAUUAGAGGUACCCCAUAUAAAUAGAGGUACCCCGCAUAAUUAGAGAUACCCCAUGUAAAUAAAGGUACCCCACACAAUUAGAGGUACCCCGUACAAUUAGAGGUACCCCACGUAACUCGAGGUACCUCCGAAAAUAUCCGCCAUGAGAAACGUCUCCGCCUCCUAAAAGAUAUUAUUCGAUUUUGUCAGAAUUAAGAAUAAAAAACGACGCCCUAAAAGGAGGGAUAGCCGCUUGCGACCUCUGCCAAAAGUGAAGGACACUGUCCCAAGGACAGUGGUCCCCAACCGCCUACCCAACAGCUACUACAGAGGUAUCCUAGACCACUCUCCAGCGCGCGCCACGUUUCCAAAAGAUAAGAUACGCCACGAACAUGCAGAUAACGGCCCAAAAAAUUAUAAAGAGGUAAAAGGACUUUAGCCAAAAAGGGUACGCGGCGUGGCAGCUGAGGUACUCCAUAUAUAAAGGCGCCUAGGUUUCAUUCUCCAUCAGGCUCUCAUUCGCCCAAAAAACACUCACACUCCAAAAAAUAGGUUUUCUUCAACCUUAAACCCUAAUUUACAGAGGGCUAGCCAACUCUCUUUACCAUAAAAGCUUGAGUUUGCUAACUUGAGCGUCAGAGUGUGAACGCCGGAGUACUCCGGCUUCACUACUAACCUCUAUUUCACUGUUUUGCAAGCGUGAAGCUCAUUUUGAAGGACACCUCUCUUCUUUUUGACCUUCCACCAUUGUUACUACUCUCUCUACCCUUCUCACCUCCCCUGAAUUUCAGAUACACCGCACCGCACCGCAAACAAUAUACUAGUGAGGUACCCCAUCUCCCCCAAAAAUAUAAAUUCAUUGUUCUACAUUGGUUUGGCUUUUCCUACCCCAAAAUCAGUUGAAAACAAUAUAAAAUAACCGUAACAUUGGUUUUUACAUUUUGAAUUUUUCUUGAAUUACUAUUUAGAAAAAUGAUGUUAAAUAAAUCUCACAAAAUAUACAAAGCCACCUAACAUCCAAAUAUUGAUUACAUUUAUUUUGUAUUGUUGGAAUGACGCCAAAGCAAUUGAAAAGAUAUAAAAAAUAAAUAAUAAUGAUGAAGAUUGGCUACGCGAUUUCACUGAAGCUAAGUUGUGACUUGUGACCAUCCAAAUGUCCGUAACAAGUUAUGAUUAUUCUCGCAGCACAAAUCCAAUAGCAUGCAACAAAAUCCACUCUUAACACUUGCCUCUGAAGAAAAUAAAACAGAGUAAAAAGAGCAACCAUGCCAGUGAAUCUCUUUACUUUUCUCCUUAUAAUUUGGGUAAACUCUAUCAAAUGAAAAUGCACCAUGACCACUGACCACAUGGGUCACUGCCACUACCAUUUACUUCUUCAACUGUGCCUCCUGCUUUAAGAAAUCUUCAACUGAAAGAUGGACUAUAUAAUUCAAGAUAAAAAAUACACCUGAGCUGCAAAGGAUACUAUCCACUAGCCUAUCAACGACUAUACUUUAUAUUUUUCUAGUUUUUGAAUCAAAAUUCUGCAAGAUUUAGUUUGGAAAACUUCGACACAACAACCAAACACUCAGUCCUUUUGUGCAUUAUAUCCACCGUAUGAUUCCUUAACAAAACAUCGGUAGCCUGUAGCUUAUCUGACACUGUCCUGACCCAAAGCCCCGCUCUUUUCAACUCAUCUGUCAAACCAUUACCCACUUUUGGAGUCAAAACUGCCCUCGCAGCCCUUUAAUAUUUCUCCAUCUUCAUUGAAUACGUGCCACCCAAAUGCACUCUCUUCCCUCUGGCUGAUUCUGUUUGAUUCAACCUCUUUUCUUGUUUACACUCAUGAAUUUGCAGAAAAUAAUUAACAAGUUUGUCAUCAUCAUAAAAUCCUUCCACAAUCACCACAUACAUUCUGCUGAGCAGGACUCAUUACACCCUUGUUUUAAACAAUUUUUUCUCCAAUUGGUUAAACAAUUUUUUCUCUUCUCUUUGCUCUCUUACAACUUGAGGCAUAUAAUUAAAUGCGUGGCAAUUAGCAUAUGCCAUGAUGUAUUUAACAACCCCAAAUGAAGAUACUGAUUUUUUUUCGGCUUAAUGGUUGCUUCAAAUGGGGGAACUGAAUUUGGGGGUUUGUUGUCUAAAUCCCAAAAAAUUCCACAUUAUGUUGGACAGUUUUUGGUUCUACAGAUGAUGAUCGGUUUUCCAAAUAAUGGUUCAAAAGGAAACAUCUAAACAAUGAGACAAAUGGGUUCUGGAUUUCUAAUCCUGUAAAUGUUGUUCUGUCGCAUAAGUUAUGAAAUUUCUGAAGCAUCACUAUCCCCGUCGUUCCUGGGAGAAAAAAAAGUCGAAGAACUGCUCGUGGAACAAAAUUAGAAAAUUUAAACAAUGUUGAGAGACUUUCCCUUCAACUAACAGUUAAAAGAAAAAAAAGUAUUAGAUAAGCAUUUUCAAAGUAAAAUGAUCACCCAUUUGUUGUACUUAGGCAGGAAAAAUAAAUAUAUCAACCCCAUUAAACCCUCACAUCUGCUAACUAAUAAUGCAUAGACUAACUUUUACGUAAGGAUAUAAAACUUACAAGAGCAAGAAAACUACUGUUUAUUAAUUUCAAAUUUUACACAAAAUUACGAAUAAUUCUAUAAGCUGCACCAAAACAUGUUCUCUAAAAGAGAUUCAGUAUCCUACAUUUUUGGAAGCAAAAAAUUAUUUCUGGAUGGUAUAAACUAAUACUAGAAUAACCAUUCGUUAAUGAUGUGAGUUUGGGCAGCACCAUGAAGCGGUGAGCCCCGUUUGGUGAAAACGAAAAAUAAUUAAAAUAAAGCACUAUGAAUUCUAAUCAAAUUAUUAACAUUAGCUAAAUAGACAGCAAGAAACCAGAAUAAAUUCGUUAACUAAACCAAAUAUUUAAAAAAAAAAAAAAAGGCAGUUAAAUCCUUAUCAUUUUCAGUUAGAAACAAACUAAAGCACAAAUUAAGAACAAAGAUUGAAGCAAAGCAUGAUUGUACCUUGAGGCACUUGAGCUUAGUGUUCCCAUAAACAAGACCGAGCGAAAAAGCCGAAACCAGAGAAACCUAUUAUUAUCACUCAAAAACCCAGAUCACAAAAUGAAUGAUCUUUCAAUAACAAUUCAUAAAAAUUCCGUCCCAUCAUAUACAGAACAAAACAAAACAAUGAAAAUAUUGAUCAGAAAAGAAAUUACAAAAAUGGACAAAAAGAAGAUAAAAAUAUGAUGCUUUGCUAUGCUUUCCUUUCUUGUGGGUGGCAGAUAAAGAAACAAGAAAGAGCCAGCAAAUUGAAAAAUCGACUAAUAUAUUCAUUCGACUCCGACUCGUAUGGCUAUUUUUCUUUGAUGAAUGAAAUAUUAUUUCACUCUCUAAUUCGUAACAAAAUUACAAGUUUCGACUUCUGUUUGUAUGUAAUCGUAAUUUUAUUGCUUGACAGGCCUGGGCUUUUACGAGCCCAGGAAGUGUAAUCGUAAUUUUAUUGUGCUGAAAAUUAUAUAAACGUUAAAUACGAAUUUAAUCAAACUAACAUGUCUUUACAACUCAGGCAACCUUACUAUUUUCUAAAGAUAUAAUUAAUUUUACUAAUAAAAUCAAAAUUAUUUUUAAACAACAAAGAAAGAAAUUAUAAUAACAAUAAAUUAAUUAUGGAAAAGUAAGUUUACAAUAAUACGAGUCAUCAUUCUUCAUUUUCUUUCUGUUUCUCUCAUAUUUUCUCUGCAUCCAAACACAAUAUUCUCAGUUCUUGACUUGGUAUCAGAUUUGCAGUUUAAUUGUCAUGGCUUCCUUCCUUAAGCACAAAUUCAAACACAAAUCAGUCUCCUUCAUUCUUUACCCUAACAAAUGCGAUCAAACUGGACAGAUCUAACUAUACGAUCUGGAAAUCUCAGAGCCUCUCUUCAGUGCGUGCCAAUGGACUUGAAGGCUUUCUUAAUGGAACUAAAAUUUGUCCAGAUCAGUUACUUACUCAAGAGAUUGAAAGUUAUGGUGUUGAAAAUGUUAUUGGUGAAAGCUCAGCUGAUAGAUCUCAGGAGAAUCCAGCCUUUGUUGCUUGGAAAAGGUAGGAUCAAUUGUUAUUAAGUUGGCUCAUGUCCUCGAUCAGUGUUGAGAUACUUAGUCUUGUGGUAAAUUCUUAUUCUUCUCAUAAACUUUGGACUAAUCUUGAAGAAAAUUUUUGGAUUAGAAACUAUGGCUAAGAAAGCACACUUAAAAAUGAUGUUAAACAAUCUCAGAAAGGGAUCAAUGACAAUAACUGAUUAUUUUGCCAAACUUAGAGGUGUAACUAAUAAACUUGCUCUAACUGGUAGCCCUGUUUCUACUCUAGACUUUAUUACUCAUCUAAUCUCUAGAUUAGGCCAGCCAUACUACCCUGUUGUUGUGUAUAUUGAAGCUAAUAUGAUGAAAAUAUUUGUCAAUGAAGUCUAUUCUAUGCUUUCAACUCAUGAAGCAAGAAUGAAAUUUAAUCAUCCGAGUGCAAAUAAAGAAGCAAAGUUGAAUUAUGCUGCUAACAUAGCUUAGGCUGGACCUAGUGAUAACAAUAAGAAGUCUAGUAAUCAAGCUAAUUACUAUCAGGGCAACCAAGGUAACUGGAAUAGAAAUGCUAAUUGGUGUGGUAACAAUGGAGGAAGAGGUGGCUUUGGCAGAGGUUUUUCAGGGCAAGGAAGGAGUAAUUAGAAUAAUGGUGGUCAUUGGAACAACGGACCUUGGAGUAGUAGUCGAGCAGGUUAUAAUUGUUCUGAUAUAAACAUUAUGACAUGGUUGCUGGUGAACCUGUAAACAUAACCACAAAAGUAAGAAGGCAUAAUCUUUUUAUAAGAAACUCAAAAAUGUAUUAAUGAUGAAAAUUUUAAAACAAAUAGUGGACCAGCUGGUCACUAAGAAAACAAAAAACUGAAUAUUUGUGCUAUAAAAAGGCACACCCAAUCUCACCCCUAUAAAAGGCAAGAAUCAGCUACAAAUCCCUAUCUCAAAACCCCAUCCCAGUUUAGAUGAAUGAAGAAAAAAGAUGAAUCUUGAAACUCCUUAGAAACUGAAGCCCAAAGUGAAGCAAGAAGAUGAACUCUAUCCCAAGCAAGCAAUAUGGCAUAUUUCUCCAUUAAUGGUUCAAAUAAAGUGAAUGGCUUUCUCUGAUGAAUGGGAAAUUGUCAAGAUCAAUAGUCAAACUCACGCAAAGUAAACGGACUUAAUUCUCAGAGGCUACUCAUUCUAAGUCUUAAAGAAAAAUUUUCUAAUUUCUAAAGAUUAUAUGGGGAAAAAUCAUUAUUUUCUAACAUGGAAAAUUUGAUACGGUGUUUAAUGUUUGAUCACAAUCAUAAUAUGAGUACUAACAAAAACAUCUUUAAUCGGCAUGGUGCGAGUAAAACACUAUCACUUCAUCUUUGAUGGAAAGAUGAUAAUAUAAGGAGAUGGUGAAAUGGUUUUGAUCUCUGGUAGCUUGUAAUUAAAAGAAAACAAAAAACUACACUAUUAUUAAUGAUUACCGAAGCUACAGAAGUAUCAAAAUCGGAAAGCAAACAAUUGCAAAACACAUCAAUGACUGAAGGUUAGGUUCUAAAACUUCCGUAUUUAAUUUUCAGAGCAUGUUAUGUAUUAUUCAGAAAUAUGAUUUCACUUCAGGCACUAGACCAAGACGCAUUAAACAUAAAACGCGGCGUUUUCAUGGACUAGUACAUUCCAUGCUUCGAAAGUUUAUGUUUUAGACUGAUUGGUUUGAUACAUUAUUUGUUUAUUGCGUUUUUCUUGCUUUAAAUAUUAUGUUGGAUUGAUAAGUUUUGUACACAUUUAUAUUGCUCGCAGUAAAUAAUUUAUGACAUUUAAAAAACUAUCAACCGUCUAUCAAAAGAUUUCUACUAUAAAUAUAUAUACAAAAAAAAACUUUUAAUUUGGUCAAUUUGUUCUCUUAUUUAUUUUUGUUCUAUUUCUCUUUUCCUUCCCUUUCAUUUUAUUGUUUUAUGGUACAAAAUAAAAAAAUAACCUUAAAAUUUAAGGGUAAAAUACUCAUUUUACUAAAAUUCCGUUUAAUAUUAUAAAGUUGUCAAAUGUCAAUGGCAUAGUACACGAGUGAUACAAAUUAAAAACAAUAAAUUAAAAGUUUUUAUGCAUUUUCCUUUUUUUUUUUAUAGUCGAUUGAGAUUUCCCUUCAUAUUUUAAAAUUCAAUAGGUUUAGACCGUUUAACAAAUCUUAAAUUAAAAAAACCCGCGGUGUAAUAACAAACUCACACCAAACCCUGUCCACUGUCAUCCCUAAUUAUAUUUACCACUUCAUACUCACAGUGAUAAUAACUGUGUAUCACAAUUGAUUUUGCAUACGGGUAAAAGUUCCAAGUCCGGAUAUUUAGUUAAUGAAAUUUGAUGAAAAGGGCAUGAAAGAAAAUAAGAAAUUAAAUAAUACAGGAGGUAUUAAUCAUUACAUAUUUAGUUAAUGAAAAUUGAUGAAAAUAUUUCUGCAGACGUGAGCCAUAAUUAUAUUACCGUUAAGAAUGAACCAGAAGAGUUUCCCCAAACAAGCUAAAACACAGCACUUCAAUUUAAAGAAUUUUUAUAUCACAGUACCGGGGCAAAAAGUUUAAUGCAACAACAUACAUUAAGUUAAUUCCAUAAUCUAUCCCCAAAGAAAGACAAACACAAGCUUAUAAGAUUAAAACUUUGGAAAACAUUAGAGUCGGACAAAAUUGUGUAAUCUUCAGAGUUUGGAGCCUAGUUCAUCCAGGAAAGCAAAAGAAAUAAUAAUAAUAAUAAUAGUGGUGGUUUGAUCUCAAAAGGUGGCAUCAAAGUGGUAACUUUGAGGUAUUGGAAGCAAUAACGUCUUCAACUUUGUCCUGAUUUCGAAGUCCCUUAACCCAUCCGCCAUCAGUGGAUUGAAUGCUUCCAUUCAACCCAUCAUCCACAAAAUCACCAACCCGUUUCACCUUCAUCUCCUUGGGCUUAACAGGGUACUUUCCAGAGAAGCAAGCAAAACAAAAAUUCUGAGAAUCAUCGCCUAACAACUAGUUCAAGCUGUCAAUCGGCAGAAAACAAGCGAAUCACACCCAAUAAACUCCCUGAUUUCCUCAACGCUCAUCCUGUUGGAAAUCAACUCCUCAGUACUUGGAGUGUCUACUCCAUAGUAACAAGAAGCUAUGAUUGGUGGGCUUGCAAUUCUCAUGUGAACCUCUUUAGCUCCAGCCUCCUUAAGCAACCUAAAAAUUUUUGAUGAAGUUGUUUCUCACACUAUCAAAUCAUCCACAACCACAACUCUCUUUCCCUCCAACCACAACCUUACAGGAGACAGCUUAAGCUUGACACCAAAGUCCCCAAUUUUCUGGGAAGGCUCAAUGAAAGUUCUCCCAACAUAAUGUGACCUUAUCAACCCUUGUUGAAAUGGCACCCCGGCUUUCGCAGCGUACUCAAGUGCAGCCACCACUCCAGAAUCUGGUACUGCAAUCACGACAUCACACUCAACAGGAGCCUCGGUAGCAAGUACUUCCCCAAAAUGAUACCUCGACUCAUAAACAGACCUUCCACAAACAACAGAAUUAGGCAAAGCAAAAUAAAUAUGCUCAAAGAUGCACUGCUUACGUUCAGGGUGAGGCAUCAAACAAGGUGAUUGAACCCCAUCUUUAUCAACCAUCAAAACUUCACUGGGAUAUACCUCUCUCUCUCUCUCUCGCCCCCUCUCUCUCCCUCUCUCUCCCUCUCUCUCCCUCUCUCUCGUAUGUGGCCUCAAUCAAAUAGUGCACAAGUCUCUGACGCAAAAACCAGAGCACCAUUACUCCUCCUACCCAUCACCAAUGGCAUAAACCCAUACGGGUCACGAACCGCAACAAGCUUAUCCUCAGUAACAAACACCAUUGAAUAAGCACCCUCAAGCUUCUCACAAACAUCCACAAUCCUCAAAAAGAACGGCCUAGCUUUUCGAUAUCGGAAUCAAAUGGAGAACAACCACAGUAUCAGAACUAGUAUUGAAAAUGGAUCCAUUAUCUUCAAGCUUAGCCCUCAAAGUAUUAUAAUUAACUAAUGUGCAACACCAACAGAACCAAACCUGUACCCAACAACAAAAGGCUGCACAUUCUUAAGCAUAGAACUACCCGCAGUCGAAUAUCUAACAUGACCAAUGGCCAUAUCACCCGGCAAUUGAUCAAGUUUAGACUGAUUAAACACAUCAGAGACUAAACCAACACCAGUAAUAGACUGAAGAACUUUGUUAUUCACAGCAACUAUACCUGCACCUUCUUGGCCGCGAUGCUGCAUCGCGUGUAGCGCCAAAUAGCAGAAACGCGAGGCCUCUGGGUCACCAUAGAUGCCCACAACACCACACUCCUCACGGGGCUUAUCGUCGUCAUCAUCAUCAAAACUGCCAAAACCGUCAUCUGGGUAUUCUUUAUUUGUGGUGAAAAACUCAGAGAUGGGGUUUUUUUAUAGAACAGUGAAGUUAUUUUUGUGGAUUAAAGAUUGUUGUUUCUGAGGAAAAAAAGGGUUUUUUUGCAGGGUUUUGGAGAAAAGAGAAAGAUGGGUUUUUUGCGACGGCUUAGGGUUAGCAGAGGGAGAUGGGUUUGAGAGAGGGCAGAUGUUGGCGGUGCCUGUUGUGGUGGCUGCCAUUAAUGGCUGAAUUUAUUUUAUUUUAUUUUAUUUUUUGGGUUGCCUUGCUCAAAGAAAAAACAGAGGAGGUGUGUGGAGGGAGACAGUGGCGAAGGGUACUUUAAGUAGAGGGGAUCUUGUUCUAGGUUUUUUCCUGGAAUUGUGAGGGAAUCUGAUCCUGUGUUUGUGCAUAUGAUUCAAUUACUUAUAGGUGAUACUGUUGUGUCACCACAAAUUCUAACUGGGAAGCUUCAGCUGUCAAUUUUUUUCCAAGGGUUAAUUAGGUAGAACUUUCAUGUCCUCGAUUUUAUUUGGAGAUUCUAAAAGUAGCUUCCAAAAUCAACAAUGUGACACAGAUGCUUUAGAUUUUUUUCCUUGUGGGACAUGAAAAUUGAUGCAUGAUCCAAUGCAUUGCUCUAUCAGAAUUGGAAUUAAACUUAGUUUGUAUUCUCCUAUUCCGAAAGCAAAACUUAUAAGUGAUAUUCUAAGAAGAAGAAAUUAAGAACCAUAACAAAUUUGAUGAUUCUAAUUUGCUAGAAAUAUUGCAAUCCAAAACUAAGAAAGUUCAAACCAAUUAUUAGAAGAAAAAAGUAGGACGGAAGCUCCCAGAAUAUUGUUAUGUGUUGUAUGUUUUAGUUUGUAUUUCCCAAUCAAUAAGAAAAAGUAAGUACACAUGUAACAAAAAUUUAAUAAAAAAGAUUGGAGGUGACAAAACCGUCAAUCUUCUAAUUAACUUUCUCUCCUUUCGAAUUUCCUGAGUUUGGUAGAGACUGCUUAAGUGGUAUAUCUAUUAUAAACACCUGAAGUCAAAGUUAAUAUUUUAAUUGUUAAGAAAAAUUAGAAGAAGAAAUUUUUGUAUAAGAGAAUUGGGUUUAAAUUUAGAAUUCCUUGGGAGGAAAUGAGUCUAAAUUCCAAUAAUAUAAUUAAACACUAUUUAUAUAUAUAUCAUUAGUUGGGUGAAAAUUUAAUUUCCAUCCUUUGAUGUGAAAAACUCUCUUGAUCGUCUAUUUUCAUAUGAUGGUAACUUUUUGUUUAAAGUGAAGUUAUUGGCACUCUUUCAUUAUGCUUAUAAAAUCCUACUUCAAAUAAAAUUACACUUAAAGACAAUAGAAUUAAAUAAUAUAAUUUUUCUUUAAAACAAAUUACUCAUCUAAUUUUCUAUAGGUUGCUUUGUAUCGAAUUAAAAAAAAAAUUGUACAAAUUUAAAAUAAUCUAUUAUUUUUUUCAAAUUUCUUAUUGAUUAAAUAUUUGUGUGCUUAAGAUAGCUUUAAAAUUAUAAGAUAUAAUAUAUAUAAUUUAAGCCAAUGAUUAACAUUCAAAAAUUUAUCUCUCAUAAAAGUUUUUAAUUUGUGCGUAGGGUAAUAAUAAAAUUGCAAAAGAAAUGAAAAAUAGCAUAGCACUAUUUUGAGUUUAAACAAUAAAAAAAUUAAAUGAAAAAUUAGAAAUGUAUUUAAAAAAGGAUAUUUUUGAAAAUAAAAUAAAUAUAAUUUAAAAAAAAAAGAGUUUCACGAGGGGUGCAAUAGUUCAACUCUUUUGUUUAUAAGUUUUAAUGUGUUGGUAUCCUUAGCUUAGCUUUUCCCUAAUUAUUAUAUUAAAAUGUAACAACAAUGAUGAUCAAACCUAAUUUCAUGGAGGUCAAAGAUUUUGGUCAUGCCGCAUUAAUUAGCUCGAUCAUACUUUCUACAAAUUUAUUUACAUUUAAUAAUUUGCCCAAGACUAGGUAAGGCGCCGCCUGGAGUCAUAGAAUUUUAUAUGUCAACAGUGCGUUUCACUUCAAUUAAGCCAUAAAUGUCGUUUAAUAUGCUCAUUUUGUAUUUUUUAAAAAAAAGUUUUAUUAAUUUUUUUUUGUUUUUAAAAAUAUUAUUUAUUUUUUUAUUUUUUUAAAGGUAAAGAAGUGGGUAAAGUUCAAAUUUAAUUUUUAUCCCUUACGUCAUGACCCCUCAGAUUUGAACUUAGGUAGCCAAACGUAUAAUAAUGAUAUCUCAAAUUUCAUUUCAAAUGAUAUGCAAUAUAUUAAGUCAUUGUUAAUCUUUAUAAGAUCCGAGUGAAUGAAUUGUGUUAUCUCACUAAUUAAUUGAUGAGUGUCAUAUCAUUUAUGAUAACUUUUGUAUAAAAAAAAUUGCGAUGGAUGAAAUAUCCUUUUGAGAAUUUAAUGGUUUAUCUCAUUUAUGAUUUAUUGUUGCAUUUAAUGAUAUUGCAAAUAAUUUUUCUGAUAAUAUUAUUGUUUUGACGAGUAAGUUUGGAGUAAAUAAUACAUAUGGCAAGUGUGAGGUUUGUUAUUGCAUUUAUUUUGUGGAUCUCUUUAAAAGCCAAAAAAAGGCAUUUCGAUUCAUUAUGAUUCCAGAUAAUUUCAAGCCAUGUCAUUAUUGGGAUAAAAAUAAAGUAAAAUGGUUAAAACUAUUUUUAUGUAAUUUAUAAAAAUUAAUGAAGCAACUACAAAAUUUUUUAAACGAAAAACAAUUGAAAUGUGUGUGGAAAAAGAAGAAAAAAAUAAGGCAUUUAAAUAUCUUCUUAAAAAAUACGAUUGAUUAAAAUUAUUUUAACCGAAUGCUCUUCCAAAUACAAUUCCACAUUUUUUUUAUUGCAGUGGGAUAUUCCAAAAUUGGCACAACUCAUUAAGAAUUCGGCAACUCAAAUUUUAUUUAUCUCUCUAUGCAUUUGACAAAUUAAAAAGAAAAAAAAUUCAUAUAUCUUCUGUUCAAAAUAAACCUUGGUAAAUAUUGUAAAACAAAUUACCAAUUUUUUUAAAUUUAUGCCAUUAUAUUGUCGCUAUUUUCUCGCCCACUUUCUUAAAAUAGAAUCGAUAUUUAUUGAUGGGUUGGGUUCCAGAGUAAGCACCAAUUCAGCAAAAUGGUUUUAUAGCAGAAAAAGCACUUGUAAGACAUUCAGAACACAUUUUUCAAUUUUGUCUUUUGAAAAUGAGUCUUGAGUUUCCGCAAGCCAAGAAGAAUGGCUAAAAAAUGUAUGGUAUCAAAGAAAGAGAAACACACACACACACAUAGAUUAGUGGGGAGAUAUAUGAGUGUGUAAUUUGUAUAUAUAUCCCAAUUAAUUGUUCAUAUAGAUUAUAUGAACAAUUAAUGUGUAUAUGCAAAAGGAAAAAAAAUUGGCUGUCCAUUAAGACAAAAUUGACUAUCACAUGAAAAUGUUAGCACACUUGCCACGCAACGAAAAUAAAGAUUCCAAGAACAACUUUAUGGUCCCCUUUCUGUCCAAACAUAGGCGAUAGAAAUUAGUGUAAACGACACUUGAAAUAUUUAUGUAGAUCCUCACACAAUUGAUUAAAUAUUUAUAGUAGGGUGGAGUGAUAAAUAGUUUCACAAAAUUAUUGGAAUUAACUAUUUAAUACAUGAGAUCUAUCUCAUUAAGUAUAAAAGAUUGAGUCAUGCUUCAAAAGCAUAACGCUGCUGGCAACAAAUUUAACACAAAAAUUUAAUUAACUAUCCUAGUUGAGAUAAUAAAAUCUUGUAUUGAAAACAAAAGGUUUGAGGUUCGAACCUUCUCAUUCAAGAAAAUCAAGUCAAAAUAUUACAUCUUCCAGCACAUAUUAAAGAUUUUUUCAAAGGCAGACUGAUAAUUCAGGGUAAAAAAGAAGAAAAAAAAAGAAAAGGAAUAUAUGCUAUUCAAGACAGGUAUGCCUUGUACAUGAAGUCCGAGUCCAGAACAAGAAGCACCUGGUUGAUCUUUCAAUUUCCAAAACCCAACAAAAUCUUUGUCAAAAUAUCUGAUCUAGUCCCAUAUUAAGCACAUUCAUAGCCAUAUCAACAGGUUCAAAAUAUUUUCCCCAAAAAGAGAUAGAGAUUCCAUUGAAGUUGAGUUGUGACUGUCCCAACGUUUUGUAAUUAUAUGGUUCAGGAUAUCAUGCCUAUGAAUCUUUUUUUUUUCUUUUUUUCCAUGUUUCGAAGUCUAUCAAAUGAAAAUGUAAUUAUAUGGUUCAGGAUCUCAAUAUGCCGCAGCUGCAAAGGUUGACUUCUACUAUCCAAUCAAUGUCUAUACUUUCUAUUGAAUUUCCUUGUUUUUUUUUAAAUUACGAGAUUUAUUUUUUAGAAAUCUUUGACACAUUUUAUGUAAGAUACCAUAAAACCAAAUACAACCUUUUUGAUUCUCAGCAACAACGUUUUUUUUUCCUUUUAAAAAAAGGAAGCCAUAUAAAUAAUGCUUUAAACAUUAUUUGCAACAAGGAACAAUUAUUUCAUGCUUUCAUGUAUUACAAACUUUCCAAAAACGCUAGCAAGAAAAUGAAAUGGAACUUUACCUAGUCACAUAAUAUAUACUGCUGUUAGCACAAUUGUUAUGAAGUGGCUUCUGCAUCCGAUGAUUCCAGCUCCCACCAAGCAUUGUUAUCUCUAUUCUAAAUACAAUCUGCAUCGCUGGGCAUGAGUUAUAUCAUUAAUGUCUGCAUCCUCACUUACAUCAUCCCAAUCAAGUGCUUUUUCUCCACAUCUGGAUUAUAAGUCCACUCCAAUCUCUUCAAAACAUCCCAGUCCUUCCAUCACAGCUGAUACGACUUCCUUCCUUAUUACUUCCCCAUUAAUAAAUCGCUCCAAGAAAAAAAAAAAAAGCAUUAGCAAUUCUCUUCAAUGCCCCAUCAUUCAUAUCCCCUACAACAACCAUCUUCAGACACCUCAACGUUGCCUCUUGAAAGACCUCCACAAAAUCCGAAUCAUCCGACACAACCACUAAACACCCAAACCUUCUUUUGUCCACCAUAUCCACCUUAUAAUUCCUUAACUAAACAUCGACAUCUUGUGGCUUAUCUAACACCUUCCUGACCCAAAACCAUGCUGUUUUCAACUCAUCUGCAAAAACAUAACCCGCUUUUGGAGUCAAAAUUGCACUUGCAGCCAUUUUAUAUUUUGCCAUCUUUAUUGAAUAGUUGCCAACCAAAAGCACUCUCACCUUCCCUCUAGCUGAUUCUAUUUGAUUCGACCUAUUCUUUUGUUCACCCUCAUGAAUUUGCCUAAAAUGAUUAACAAGUUUGUCAUUAUUAUAAAAUCUCCUUCCACAAUCACCUAUAUGGCUUAGUAGGCCUAAUUACACCCUUGAUUUCUAUUUGGUUAAACAAUUCUCUUUCUUUCUUUGCUCUCUUACAACUUGAGGCACAUAACUAAACGCGUGGCUAUUAGCAUUUGCCACCAUGUAUUUAACAACCCCAAAUGAAGAUAUUAAUUUUUUUAGUUUAAUUGCUGCUUCAAAAUGGGGUACUGCAUUUGGAUUUUGUUAUUCAAAUACCAAAAUGUUCCCACAUUGUGUUGGACAGUUUUUGGUUCUAAAGUUGAUGAUUGGUUUUGCCAAUCAGGCUUCAAAUGAGAACUUCUAAACAAUAAGACAAAUGGGUUUUUGAGUUUCUAAUUUUGUAAACUUUGUUCUAUUGUGUAAGUUAUGAAAUCGCUGAAACAUCACUACAGCUACAGGUCUUUAUGUGUCAAAGAACUGCAGAAGCUGAUGAUCUACCAGUAGUAGACUUCUAUUGCCCCUGCCGUUCUAGGAAGACAAACAAGUUCAGGAACUACUUCUGGACCAAACUCAUAAUAUUGCCACCGCUUUGUGCCAAUCUGAGACGGAAAGAAGAUUGAAGUUCCUAAAUAAGGCACAUCAUGAUUUAAUAGAAGCACCACUAUAAGGAAAAAUGGAUUUCAGGAAAGCACUAAAAUAUGACAUAAUCUCCCCCUAAUAGUCUAAAGUAUCAACCAAGCAAAAACACAUAAACUAGUUGAGAUACAAAGUUAUCAUAAAAGUCAGUUUUGAUCACAAAUCCAUUAAAAUUAAAAGACAUUAGAAAGUUAGAGAACAUUAUAAUUUAGGACUCAGCUAAGUUGCAGAUUCUGUAACUAACAGCUGAGUCCACAUUGGCCUUACAUCAGCUGAGUUUGGGUUGCUUUUCCUCUCUCCUGCAACGCGUACGUGGAAGCGCCCCAUUUGCUGUGUUCUAUACCGAGUUGGUACCGUAACAAGCUCCUAUAAUUUAAGUUUGAUUACUGUAGACAAUAGUCUGCCUCUGCUCAAAAGCUAUGCUGCAAGAUAUAACAUCUUUACUUUCUAAAAGUAAUAAGAAAUGAAACCAAGGGGUAAAUCGAACACCAAAAGAAAUUUAGUCGGCCAACCACAUUAUGUUCCCACACAAUCCACUAAUUAAGUUAAUAAUUAAAGGGAAUCAAAAUCUAAGAAAUCUCAUCUUCAAGCAGAAUACAAACACGCCGCGAUUGAAAAUCACAAAAUCAUAAAAAGAAGCUGACUUGAAAAGGGGUGGGCCGCCUCAUUUGCCCACCAACCACACCACACACACAAACACUCCAACACACACACAAGCUCUCUAGCUUUUGUAAAAAACUCUCUUUAAUAUUCUCUCUUUGUGAGUAAUAAAAUCAUAUUCAGCCAUAUUGCUCUACUUCUCUCUAGCAUUUUCCUAGAGUGUUCUUACUUCGCUAGUUUGAGGAGUGGUCUAGGCUUACUUAGCAACUUGUUUGCUACAAGGACAUCUUGGUCACAAAACAUGGACAUGCAAGGAAAAAAAAAUAUUGAUACGUUCUAAAAAUAAUACGCAUUCUUCUAUCGUGAACCAAAAAAAUUUAGGCUAAUGGUAGCAAGUGAAGGAAUUGUGAUUUCACGUGCAUUUUGUUGACAUGAAGGUAAAGAGCUUUUUUAUAGUUUAUAUUGUUUAAUAUAACAUUUGAAUUGCAAAAUAGGGGUACAAAAUAGAUACACGAAGGGAUAAAACUAAGUUGAUUAUGAUAAAUAUUGAAUUAUAAGAUUUAGGUUUAAUCAUAAAGACAUAAGUGGCCCAAGUCACGAAUUGAUAUCAUCCAUGAUGCAAGUUCAAACAACUGCAUAAUAAGUUGCCCUAAGCUAAACUAUUAAUCUAGUAACUAUUCCAGUCGAUGUGGGAUAAUUUUCCUAUCACCAUUUAUCACGUGCAAGCCGAAUUUGUUGCUUGGUUCUUACAUGUGGUAAGAUAAUAUGAAUCCACUUGUGCAUAAAUUUUGCUCCGAUAUUAUAUAGAAGCUUAUGACCCAAAAUUAUACUUAAAGGUGAUUUCAAGAUUUCAAGGUUGCCUCAAGCUAAUAUUAUUAUUAGCCUGGUAACCCUUUUUUUUUUGUUGAUAUGUGAUAUUUUCCCUAUAACUUUUAUUAAUCUUUAUGCUUAUGUUUUGUCAUUUAUCCCAAAAAUAUAACAUUAACAAAAGUUCCAAAAUUUCCUUCAAGAGAUAUAUUUGAGACAAGUAAUUUGUGCAAUAACUUUGUGAAUUGAUGAGCAAAUUCAGAGAAAAGAAUAUAUGUGCCAAACGUAAAGUUUAUUAUUGUGUUUAUUUGUAGAGCUAUUUAAAGCCCAGAAAAAAAAAAGCACCAGUCCGCUAUGAUUUCAAAUAAGUUCAAGCCCUAUGUCAUUAUUGGUACAAAAAUGUAUCAGAAAGGUUAAAAACUAUUUUUAUUUAACUUAUAAACUUAGGAAAUUAUCAACUGCUCAGCCUUAAAUUGUGCUAUUAUAAAAAAUAUUACAAUAUUUUCAGGUUGUAUCAUUCAUCUACCAUAAAAUUAUAAUUGCAUCAUUUAUCCACCAAAUCAUUAACUUCGUUAAAAAGUGAUAGAUGUUACAAGGGUAAUUUAGACAUUUAACACACAAAAAAAAUAAAAGAGAAAUUAUCUAAGCUUACCAUGUUAUCAAAAUUGCUACAAAAUUUUAAAUUUGUUCAAUUUUUCAAUCUAAGUUUAUGACCUCCAAGAUUUUAAUUGCAAUUUGUAAUUAAUGAGUUCAUAAGGAUAAUUUAGACACUCAAUAUGCAAAAUAAAAAAAGAAAAGUAUCAUUUGUAUACCUUAAAAUUUGCUGUAUCAAUCGUCCACCUUAAAUUGAAAAAAGUUAUCUACCGACCACUAAACCAUUAGUUACCGUUUGAAAGUUAACGGAACUGUAGCGAAUUGACGAUUUUACCCUUGAAAUCUCAAAAAAAAAACUCUUAUUAUCAAUUAUAUACCCUUAAAUUAUUACUAGUAUCUAUGAAAAGACUAUAUUACCCCUUUGACGUCAUCAUGUUUAAACGGCAACUAACGCUUUGGUGGACGACAGAUACAUUUUGUCAAUUUAGGAUGGACGACUGAUAUACCCUGAAAGUGUUGUAGUAAAUUUGAUAACGGAGUAAACUAAGGGUAUACAAAUAAUAAUUUCCUAAUAAAAAAAUAAAAUAAUGGUUUAAAACAUUAAAACAAAAAACUUGAUAUUCAAUUAAAUACACAUAAACUCUAUUUUUUUCUUAAUUAAAAAUAUUCUAAUUUAUUUUCUCAAUUUAUCAUCAUAAAUUUACAUUAAUAAACUAAAUCCACAAAUUACCCUAAACCCUAAUUCAUAAAUGCCCAAUCAAUCUAAUAGUUUAAUUAGAUUUCAUAAUUAAAAAGCUAAAUUUAUUAUAUUGGUUAUGGUGCAAAGUCAAAAAUGCCCUUAAAUUCAAGGGUAAAAUAACAUUUUAUUUAAAGUCUAUAAAUGAUUCUAACAAUGUUAACAUUUUGGUGGGCGGUUAAUAUAAGUUACAAACUUAAAAUAGAAAAUCAAAUAAAUUCAAAAUUUCAAACUAUUUAGGGCAAAUUUAGGAUAUAUGGUUAAUAAUUUUCCCAUGUCUUUUUACAUUGGUUGAUAUAAGUUACAAACUUAAAAUAGAAAAUCAAAUAAAUUUAUAUUUUCAAACUAUUUAGGGAAAACUUAGGGUAUAUGGUUAAUAAUUUUCCGUUGUCUUUUUACGUUAAAUUGAGUUUCAAAGGUAAAAUGGUCAAUUUAUUAUAAUUCUGUUAAUUUUUUAGUGGAAGCAAACGAUAUAAUGGACGAAUGAUAUAAAUUGUAAAAUUAAGGUGUAUGAAUGAUACAACUUUAAAGUAUUAUAGUAAUUUUAAUAAUAGAACAAUUUAAGGGUGGAUUGGCAAUAAUUUAAACUUUAAUGAAGCAACCAAAAAAUUUUUUUAACAAAAGAAAAAUAAUUGAAAUGCUUUAAGAAAAAUAAAGGAAAUUAAAUAUCUUUAUAAAAAUAUAAUUGAGUAAAAUCAUUUUACAAAAUACUCUUUCAAAUGCACAUUCCACAAGCCAGGGAGAACGGGUGACUAACAAAAAUCUCACUUUUUAUGAGUUUAUAAAAUCUCACUUUCGCAGAAACAAAAAAUAAAAAUUAUUGCUGUCACGACAUUACGCACUUUCUUUGCCAUCUAGAAAGGUAGAACAUUUUGAAGUUCCUCAAUACAAAAUGCGUGCUACUACUAAAUUGGCACAAUUAAUGCCCAUCGAAAAGGCCAUCAAUUUAGCCAUCAAUUUUGUCAAAAUUUCAACAAUUGAAGAAACAAUGAUCACAAACGGAAUAGGUAAAUUUUGAAGUUGAAUAAAUCUUGAGAUGCAUACAACAAAGCCUUGAAACUUUAUUCUUCACAAUUUGAGCACGCACUGAAUAUUAAAGCAAAUAUAUAUGAAAAAAAAAUCAUAAAGCUACCAAAAGGAACCACAAAAUCAUCAAUAUUAUCGUUUAAUAUGGAGAACGGCCUGCGCAUCCAAAUUGUGCGAACUGAACACGCUGAAAUGUGUGUUUUGUUUUUUGGAUUUUUGGAAUUUUUUAAAAAUCAUUUAUGUUCGCCGCCAUCUUUUUCUUCACUGGCGUCUUCCUCUCUUGGCUGGCAUCUGCCUCGUCUGCAGUUUGCUGUGCCUAUUUAUCCAACCAAUAAAUUGGGCAUUAAAUACGAAUGAAUGAUGAAUAAAAUGAUAAAAAAAAAACAAACAGAGAAAAUUAUAAUAUAACACAUAUUUAUUGAAAGAGAAAUUUUGAUUUUAGGAUAGAUCAAUUAGCUAUCUCAAACGAAAACAUGAACCAACUAUGUAUAGAGUCAAUUAAUUUAAAGUUCUCAAGAAUUACCUCUGCUCCAGAAUUCUCGGAAUCAUCUUCUCCUUAUGAAUUUCCACGAAACUUGGGACAAUUAUUAACACCUCUUCUAAAGUAUGCAGAUGGAAAUGGGAUCUGAUAACCCGCAGGCCAAAAGUUGGUGAGGUUUGGUAAGUCUUCCAGUCUCAAGUCCCAAAGUUCAUUCAUAACAAUUUCAUUGUAAUCCGUGACGUCUGCUCCAUCUUUAUGCCAGAAUACUUCUUCUAAUUCAUCAUUACCUACUAUGGAUAGGCGCGACAGUUUUUGAAGACUUGGAGCUACGCUGAUAUGAAAUAGAUGCUUUAGUUUGGGGCAAUAAUAGACAGAGAUCCUUGUGAGUUUUGGGAAACAUACAGGUUGGAGAUGAUCCUCAUCCUCAUCCUCAUCAAUGAUUUGCUCUAAUUCCAAGCAAUUCGAAACAGAUAACUCCUCCAAUUGCAACAGAUUUCGAGCAAAUGUUGAUGAGAAGAGACGUCUCAGCAUAGUGCACCCGUCCACUGUUAAAUAGGUAAGACUUUGCAGGCUAAAAUUAUGAGUGGGACCUUCAUGAUAUAAUAAUAAUUGCAGGUCUCCCAGAUUGUGCAAGGUCAAUGUCUUCAAACGUGGGAAUAGUUUGUUUUCUUGUCCCUCAGCGAUAAUAGCUUCCACUUGAAAUACCACCUGUACUCCAAGUUCUCCAAUACCCAAUAUUUCCAAAUUUUUUAAUCCGUGCUUCAACAGUGCUGGAAUCGUGUGACGCAAAUGGGAGCAACUUUCCACACCUAGAGUAUUUAAGUUCUGAGACAAAUAAAUAAAUAACUUGAUGUAAUUAAAAUUUGUUAGCAGCUAGGAUUAUCACAUGAUAAGUGAUGAACACCGCAAAAAACAAAAACAGAAAACAAAAUCCAUACAAAAAUAUCAUAAUACAUAUGUAAACUAAUAAAAUAAUUAAAAAGUAAUGGAUUUAAAAAAAAUGAAAUUAGUUAAAAGAGAUCAUGUGAAGUGAUAUAAAUGUGACAUUAGAUUGUUUUAGAAAAAUUAUUAUUCUAUUAAUUUAUAUGGCUUGAUCAGCUAAUUAAUUGAAUUUGAAUAAUAUUAUACACACUUCAGAAGUAUUUGCAUCAAUUCUUUCUAAACCAAAAUGAAAUCUGAUAAAAUAAUUAUUAUCAUUACCACAUCCACCACCACCAUCAUCAUCUCCAUAGGAUCAAAUAAUUAAUGGCUGAUCAUAAAGUUUAUUGCUAAACUAUCAUUUUGAGUAAAAUUGAAUGAAAAGAAAAAACAUGAACCCAAACAAACAUACAUUUUCAAGAUACUGCAAAUUGGCUUCAAGUUCAUUAUUGUUGAUGAUCAAGUUGGGACAAUAAUCAAGGAUUAGCUCUUCCAAUGCUGUCCAAAUUGAACAAUAGUUUUCUGAACAGAAGCUGACGAGUUCUGGGAGUUCUUGAAGUGUUAAUCUUCUCAACAAGGGGAGGGCGAGCAUCGUAUUUCCACCUUCGACACUUAUUUCCCCUUCAUUGUGAUCAAACUUUGCUUCGACAAUACAUUCCAGUCUCUCGCAAUGGCUUACACAGAGACUUUUAAGCUGCUCCAAACUUCGGGCUUGUGACAACGUGAAGAUGUAUGUCAACUUGUUGCACGAAUGCACAUUCAAUUCUGCAAGAGUUUGGAGACUGAUCACAUGUUGGGCGAGUGCCUUCCAUAUCCACUUCAGUUCUGGUAAGCCCCACAUAGAUAACUUUGCUAAUCUUGAGAGACUCUUUCCAUGCGGCGACUUGGAGGCAUCCAUUAUGCAUUCUAAAUCUUCGCAACCGUGGACAUCAAGACAAGUCAACUCAUUUAAGCCCAUUUCAUCUAUGCUUGGCACAAUAUUGUAACAACCUAUAAUCCCACUUAAACAAAGAAUUUCCAGUUCUUGAUACAAAGCCGAAAAAAUACCGAGCGAGGUCGCUUCAGGAGGGUCGUUACUAAUCAUUAAGAUCCUUGCCUUAUCAAAAUGACGUACCUUUGCAAUUUCGGGAAUGUAAAGUCUUUUGGAAGACAUACAACAGAUCCGUCGACUUGGGAGUUCAACUCAGCAAGCCUAGCAUUACUUUCUUCUGAACUCAUCCCUUCAACCUCCCAAUUUUUUAUCCGACCAUAAAAUUCUUCUAAUUGAGGAAUUUUUUUUAUCGUAAUAGGAGAAACAGAACUGAUAUCAAUAUAUAGAAGUUUCAAUCUACUAAGUUCAUUCCUCAAUUCUUCUGGAAUUUUAAUGAGAGACUUCUUGAGAAAAAGAAUUUGAAGCCUCUUCAACUUUCCAAGGAAAGAUGCAUCACUCACCUUACAUCGAAUCAACUGCAGAACCUGGAGGUUGGUGAGGCUCUGAAGCGAUUUAAGUGAAAGAACUCCACCUAUUAUAGUGACAACUUUCAAUGCUGGCAUCCCUUUAAAAAAAUGUUCUGGAAUUUGCAAUUCGUAAUUAUAUACGGUGUUCUCCAAUCGCAGAAUAUGAAGGUUAGGGCAUACCAAACUACUAGGAAGCUCUUCUUCUUUAUUUCCCAUUACAGAGAUUCCUUUGCACUGUUCCAGGCCUUUUUCCACCGCCCGUUCCAGCAAUCUGAUGCCAUUUAUACUAAACAAUCUCUCCUCCUUCUCCUUCUUCUCUGUGCUUAUCCAUAUGGCUACAUCACGAACUAUGUCAUGCAUUUUCACAGAUAUGUCAUUACCAGUGUCUAACAGUAGUGAAGCAGCUUUGAGUCCGUCAAUUGUUCCAUGCAGUAGGCUUCUGGUGUUCUCUAUUGACUCAGCUUGAUACCAAGUCAACCCUACUGCAUAUCCAACCAAAUCCUCCAAAUUAAUCUCAUAAUAUUCUGGAAAUAGCGAACACAACAAGAAGCAUAACUUGGAAUUGUCAUCAUUCAAUUUGUCGUAACUAAAUUUGAGACAACCGUAAACGUCUAGGUUCUCCUCAUCAAUACCUUCUAUUGCAUAGAGUUUUGCAGCCUUUAGGUUAUAUAGAGCCAGGUUCCAUUCAUUAAGGUAGCGUUUACUUUUUGGAUUGGAUUGAGAAUCUUGGGGAGUGGGAAUCCUAAGAUUGGGAGUGUGGAGUGGGAGUGGGAGUAGGUUGUUUACUUACACUAGAAUGGAAGCAUGGAAUGGAGAUCAGAAUUCAAUUUAUGUGUUUACUUUGUCUUGGAUUGGGAGUAAAUAGUUUCAAAUUAUAAUUUUAUCCUUAUUUAAAGAAUUAUAAUUUUUAAUUACAAAACUAAUAAAAAAUAUAUUUAAUGAAUAAUAUUUAUUUUAUUAUAUUUGUAAAUUUAUUAUAAUUAUUAAUAUUCUUAAUUAUGAACAAUAAAUUAUUAAUUGUAAUUUUAAUAUAAAAUGAAAUGUUAUUUUAUUUUAUUUAAUAUAAUUAUAUUAAAUUUAUUAUUAUAUAAAAUAAUAAUAUUAUAUUAUUUAGUACAAAAUUAAUAUUUUCUUAGAAUAAAGUAUUUAUUAUUAUUAUUAAAUAAAUAUAGUACUAUUAUUUUUAAAAUAAAUAUAAUAAUAUUAUAUUUAUUAAUUCUCUAUUAAUAUAAUAAUAUUAUUUUAAAAUAAUUUUAACUUAGAAUCAAUGUAAAUUAUUAUUGAGUUAAAUAUAAUAUUAUUAUUUAAAUAAAUAUAAUAUUAUUUAUUUUAUUUUAUUAAUUAUAAAACAUAAAAUAAAAAAAAGAGUAGAAAUGGGAGAGGUGGGAGUGGAUUCCCACUCCCACCUCCCCCAAUGGGAGUCCCACUCCCACUCCCCACUCCAAAAAUGGAUGGGGCCCACGGAGUGGGACUUCCAAUCCCUCUCCAUUUUAAGUAAGCAAACGCUGGAGUGGGAGGAAUCCACACUCCUCACUCCCACUCCAACAAGUAAACACAACAUUAAAUCCUUUUCCUCUUAGUGCACUUCCAACAGCUUCAAUAGCUAAAGGUAGCCCGUUACAUUCUCCAGCAACUUCUUUGGAAACAUCAUUCAAGGUGGAGUCAUUUACAUCAAUGCCGGCAUUUUUUCGCAGUAAAGCCAAUCCUUCUUCUGGCGUUAGUGUACUAAGUGGAAUCUGUGUGUCACAACCCAAAGAAUCACAAACUGACUUUUUGCGAGUGGUUAGAAGGAUUUUGCAACAAUUAUCUCUACCACCAACGGGAAUACGUAAUUUUUUCUCCAAGUCGAGUUGUUUCCAAACAUCAUCAAGGAUUACGAGGAUUUUGUUGCUUUUACUCUCAGAAAAUAUCAAGCGCAAUCGGUCUGCUCUCUCUUUUUCAUCUUUCUCAUUUAGUGCCCAGCCUAACGACUUUGCCAGCUCACCUUGAACCUUUAUUAUAUCUGGAUCCUGAGACACAGUGGCUAUCCCCACCUUAUCAAAAAUCUUUUGUUGCCGAAGUUGAUUGCCCAGAGAUUUUGCCAAGGUCGUCUUUCCUACACCGCCGAGACCGUGCAAUCCCACCAUCUUUGUGCUCUCUUUUUUCAGUGCUUCAGUGAUCUGAUUACAAGCCGAUUCUGUAGUCUCGAAAGAAGAAAAAAAUCUCGGUAUAGGCAAUUCUUCGUCUGGUGGUAGAGGUUUAGGACGGGCAACUGUGCUGAAUUUGCUGCGGUCUUGUAGUUCGGACAACUUGCUACUCUUCUUUGAUGCUUUUCUACCCAGCCAGUAUCGCCAACCCCAAUUAGGAUACCAUCCAUUAAGACAACUCAUCUUUUCAUCUAUCUUUGCUUUCAAAUUUCGAACGUCGGCCAUUUCUUUGUCUACAUCCUCAAGCCAUGUCUUGACAUCUUCCUCGACUUCUAUAGCACGGUGUAUUUGUCGUUCUUGUUCUACUCUUUUAUUGAUGCCAUCUUUUUCCUUCUUCAAAUUGGUUUCUUUAACCUUAAGUUCUUUAUCUAUGCUGUUGAAACAGAGCAGAUAACGAGCUUGGUUUAUGGUUGCAUCCACCAACAAUUCUCCAAGCCUUGAUGCAACACCUGACAAAAGUUCCAUGCUAUUUAUCUGCAAUUAAUAAAGUUGAUCUCAGUAAGCUAUAAGCAAAACAUAUGAGGCUUGAUCACAAGAUCGAACGAGAAAGUUUAAUUACCUUUUUCUAUUAUGUGAAUGCACGUUUAUUGACACUAGCUUUGACCAGUAAGAGCAAAAUGCAAACGCCGAGCUUUAAGUGGCCUUCAGCUGCAAAACAAAAGAGAAGAAAUAAGGUAAUUUAUUAUUAUUAUUAUUAUUAUUAUUAUUAUUUUUAAGGACGGAUAAAGGUUAGCUAGCUUGCAGACAAAUUUACUAAAAUCAAGACAAACCUAAGAGUUUUCCUAAUUUGUUCAAACAUGGAAUAAGCGUUUCACAACAGUAUAUCCAUAAAGUAAUAAUAUUAUUUUAAAUUAUAUUAAUGCCUUUGGUAGUGAAUUCAAUUAGGGUUAUUUUAGUAAUAUAAAUUUUCAUUAAAAUUAAAGUGUCCAAAUUCUAAUUUAGAUUUUUCAAAUGUAAAAUAAUAUUUAUUUAUCUGAUAUAAAUUAAAAUUCAAACAAAUGUAUCAUGCAACAAAUGAAAAGUAAAGAAUAUUAAUUAGGUUUUAAUCGAAACAAAUAUAAAUAGAUGUUUUGAGUAGUUAAUUUUUGUUAUUUUAUGCUAUUGGUAGUUUGUGGAUUAAAUAAUUUGUAUAAGGAUAAAUGGGGGUUUGUAUAAUUUAUACGAAGAUAAUCUCCAAAAUAAGCAUAUAUGUCGAAUUUAAAAGUGUUAUAUAAGUAGUAAUCGUAUAUGCAUCAAAAUUUUUAAUAAAAUUUAUUUAGAAAUUGGCCAAAUGGGUUUUAUGAAGAAAAUAGACGGGCAAGUAAUUAUGUAACAAGUAAUUUGUAGGUUGUGGUACUUCUCCAUACUUCAAAUCACUUUUAUCUAAUCAAUUGAUAAAUUUUUUUGGGCUCCAACAAAAUGAAAAGAAAAAGUUAAAAAUAAUUCUGAAAUAAAAAACGUUAGGUACUGCCUAUAAGCUAUACAAUUUUACCUUUUCUUCUAUCACAAUUAGUAUUAGAAAUGAAAAUAGUUUCGAAAUAAAUGUAAUUAGGAGGUAAUAUUAUCUCAACAAUACCUUAUAGGGAAAAAGACAUCUACAUCCUAAAGUUCGGAGAAAUAGUCGUAAAGACCCCAGGUUUUCAGAAAGGGAUAUCAAGACCCUUUUUUGACCGUAAUACCCUUUAAAUCUAGUAAUUAGAAAAUUGACUUUAAGAUUUUUUAAUUGACAAAUUUAAUAUAAAUAAUAUAAUCUAUCUAGUAGAUUAAUAAUAUUAACAAUAAAAAUAAUAUUAAAAUUUAAGUUCUUAUAUUUAUUUUAAUAAUAUAUUUUUAUUUAUUAUAAAGAUUUUAAAUAAAUCCUUGGGUUAAAUAGGUUUUCCAGUUAACAAAAUAUACCCCUAUUAAUAAUAUUGAAAUUACUUUCUACAUAAUAUUUAAAAUAAUUAUAAUUUAUUUAUUUUAAUAUUAUGUUUCUAUUUAUUAUUAAAAAUUACUUUAUUAGAGUAAAUUUUUAUUAAUUAAAGCUUUAAAAUCAAUUUUCUAAUUACUAAAUUAAAGGGGUAUUAUAGUCAAAAGGAGUCUUUCCUUUUUGAAAACUUAGGGUUUUUGCGACCAUCUCCCCAAACUUUGGAGUAUAGGUGUCCUUUUCCCGACUUCAUAUAAAGAUAUUCCAUAAGGUCUUAUAAUAACUUAUAUUAUAUGAAUUUAAUUAAAAGAUCAUUAAUACUUAAAUAAUAAUAAUUAUAGAAGACAUUGUAAUAAAUUAUUUGAUAUAUAUUAUUAAUGAUACUAUAUAUAUGUGUAUAUAACUACAUGAUGGCUUGGAUAUAUAUUGUUAGUGGUAAUAAAUGUUUUAAAAAAAAUUUAAACUAAUGAUUUCAAGUGAUUCAAUGGUGGAUAAUUUAAAAUCAUAAAAUAUUGUUUUGACUUUCAAUAUCAACCGUUAGACUGUGAGAAAUUAAUUGCUCAAUAUUUUGUGUAAAAGUUUUAAAUUAAAAUAUCCCAAACCAUUUGUUUUACUUAAAAUACAAAAAAUAUAUAAAGAAAUUUUCUCAUUAAUUUUCAUAUUUUAUUAGAGGUAAUAUUUUAUGUAUCGUCACCAUUAAUUGCCAUCAUUAAAGUAGUGACUCUUAGUAAUAUAAAAUUUUAUAAUUAGUUAAUUGGAAUCAAAUGAUAUCAAAUAAAAUAAUAUUUCAUGAUUCAUAAAUUAAAGCUAAUUAAGAAUAUAUGUUAGUUUUAACUUUUAUGAAAUCAACUAAGUGAUAUUAGAAAAUAAAAUGAAAUAAACUAGUGAAACUUAAAUUUUAUAAGGUUUGAAUAAUUUUCUACCAUGUAAGAAUAUUAAUUGUGACAUAAACCAUAGUUUCAUGGUAUAUGUAUGCCAAAUGGGGUAACAAAUAAUAUAUACUUCAGGAUCAUGAUAGUAUAUAAAGUAGUGGAUAUUUUAAUAUCUAACAUAAAAUUCUUUAAGACAUAGGUGGUCAAUUAUAUAUAUUUUAGGAUAUAGACAAUCUCAAUCAAGAGUUUAUUGAUGUGAAUAGAUGGCAUUCACUUAAAUGUAUAUACUUAAUUGUGUUGUUUAUUGGUAUUACAUGUAACAAAAUUUUAUAUUAAAUUUUGAAGUUUUAUAUUGUUGUUUCUAUUGAAUUUAUAAAUACAAUAAAAUUAUACCAACAAUUAGAUUCUCAUAUCCGUUGACGACAAUUUUUUAUACUAUUGGAACUCCAAUCUUUGAAGCUACACAAUAGUUAAAGUACCGACAUCAAUAGAACUUCCGUUCAUUGUAGAUCUAUAGUCAAAGUUUCGAAUCUUAAAAAUUUGACAGCAGAUUUAUGUCAAAUGAAAGCUUGUUACCAGUGAUUCUUAUACAAUUAUGUUGUUAUAGUAAUAAGGAUUCUAAUGGUACUAAAAUGCACUCCAUUAGACAUAAAGAUCCGACGACUAGUGGCGACAAUAACUAUCAUUAGUGACUUGGAGGUAAUUGCCGUUAAUAAAUUAUUUUUAACUUAAUAAUUAAUACAAACAAAUAAAAAAGUAAUUUAAGGAAAAUUAAUGUAAUAAAUAAUUGAAUUAAAAAAAAUAAAACCUAAAUUCUCGACCAUUUAUCCGUAUGUUUCGAAUCCAACGUUCAAAAUUGGAAUAAAACAUAGUAUAGCCAUUGGAAGUAAAACAAACAUUAAAGAGACUAGGAAAAAAUAUCUCAUACCUUCUAUAAUGAUACAUCCUCAAUCACUGCAGAAAGCUCCAAUUAAAAAGUCGCACAAGUUCGGAGAAAAUUACCUAACAACACAAAUAAACAUCAAAUCAAAGCAACAUAGGAUCCAGCUAAUUAACAUCAUAAGUAAGUCCUUGUUCUCAGUCAAAUCUUGCAUUCUUAGGAUAAAAAAAAAAUUGAAAGAAUAACGGUAACUGGAAAGUUUGACGACAUAAAGAUCUAGCUAAAUUUUAAGAAGCAAAAGUAAAUAAUGAAAGCUCAAUAAAAGAUCAUCAGCAUUAACAUACCGAAAUGAGAGCAGCUCACAGAACUGGUAAUUUCCAAGAACAGGAAAAAUAAGUGAGCUGAUAUUGAGGACAACUAAAAUAGUCAUGGAGUAAUUUGCUAUUGAGGACACCUAAAAUAAGAAAAUUAAUUAACAUUGCUCUAUACAGCAUUUCAAUAAUUUGACUAUUAAAAAAAAAAAUUUAUCUAGAUCACGAUUUCUCAAAAUGAUGCUUUUUCUAAUUAAAUAAAUCAAAAUGCCUGCUUCUUUCUUUUUCAGAAAAGAAAAAGUGGCAAUGGCAUCAAUUUUUUGCUAGAUUUUUAUCACCAAAAGCACAAGCAAGGAAUAAGAAUACUCUCUGAAACCAACCAUGUAAAGAGUAGAAGUAAGUGGUCAAUUGUAAAUUAGUCUUUCUUUUUUCUUUGUUAUUUUUUCAUUUUUUGAAUGUGAACUAAAUAAAUUUAAGGGUGAAGCUAUUACACCUUGAAAACUAUAACUGAACACCCAUUUUUUUUUAAUUAAAUUUUUAUUACUAAAAUAACCAUGGAGUAAUUUGCUACUAAGGAAAACUAGAAUAAUAAAAUGAAUAAUGAUUGCUCUAUACACCCUUUUCUAAGUCUAUCGUCUUCUUAAUUUCAUAAUUUGGCUGUCAAAAAAUAAUCUAUCUAGAUCACGAUUUCUCAAAAUGAUGCUUUUUCUAUCUAAAUAAAUGAAAAUGCUUGUUUCUUUCUUUCUCGAAAAGAAAAAGUGGCAAUGGCAUCAAUUUUUGCUUGCAAGCACAGCGAGGAAUCAGUAUACUCUCGGAAACUAACCAUAUUAAGAGUAGAAAUAUUUAUUUGGUUAUCACGAAGUAAGUUAGAAAUCAAUUAUAAAUGGUCUUUUUUUUUUAUUUUUUAAUGUGAACUAUAUAAAUUUAAGGUGAGGUUAUUUACACUUUGAAAAACAUUCUGAAAACCAUUAUUUCAUUAAAUUUUUUAUUAUUAAAGGUCCGUUUGGGGCAGCUACGCUGAAGCAGCGCAGCUGCCCCAAACGCUCUCUAAAAUAGCCAUGGAGUAAUUUCUUACUGAGGAAAACUAGAAUAAUAAAAUCAAUUAUCAUUCUUCCAUGAACCCGUUUCUAGAUGUAUCUUCUUCUUGAUUUGGUAACUUGGCUGUCAAAAAGAAAUCUAUCUAGAUCACGAUUCCUCAAAAUGAUGCUUUUUCGGAUGAAAUAAAUGAAAUUGAACCUACAAUCUGCCACAAACACGUUAUAAUGAGCCUAAUGAAAAGCAGUAUGAGAAAUUUUGCUUCCAUGUUGUUUCUUCCAUAUGUAAAGGUAGUAAAAAGAAAUUUAAGUCCUAGAAUGGAUGAAGAAUUAUCAAUAAUUAAAAUAAAAAUGGAUGAAGAAUUAUCAAUAAUUAAAAAAAAAAAAAAAAACAGAGUUAUAAAAGAAUCACAGUUCCACCAAAAAUUAAGAGUUAUUUUAUUUGGUGGUUUCCUAUCCCGAAAGCAUUACUUGUAAAUAUGUGCUAACAAGUAAUAAUUAAGAAAGUUAAGGCCAAUCAUUUAGCAGGGAGAAAAAUGGAAACAUCCGGAAUAUUGUUAUGUGUUUUCAGUUAUCUACCAAUCAAUAAUGAAAAAUUAAAUACGCAUGUGACGAAAAUUUAAUAAAGAGAACUGGAGGUGACAAAAUUUUUAUUAUUCUAUCUUUCUCUCUGAAACUUCCUUAAUUUGGUUGGGAAGUGCUUUGUCUUAGGCAGUGGAUCUGUUAUAAAUACCCUUUGCUAAAGUUAAUAUUUUGAUUGAAGAAAAAAAUAGAGGAGAAAAAUUUUAUUAAAGUAUAACAUAAUUUGAUAAAUUUAGAAUUGAGGAGAGAAAAUGAGUAUAAAUUCGAAAAUUUUGGCACUAUUUACAUAUCAUUAUUUGGGCAAAAAUUCAUUUCUCUGCUUUCAUAUGAUUUGGUCUUUCAUUGUUACGGUGCCAAUUUUUUAUUUAAAGAUGUAAGAUAGUGGUACUAUAGCUUAGAUUUUCCGUAAGUACAAAAUAAAAUACUAGUUUAAAAUAUAAAAAUGAAAAACUAUUUUUAUAACCAAUAUUCAAUUAAAUACACUUGAAACUCUAUUUUUUCUUAAUAAAAAAAUUCUAAUUUAUUUUCUCAAUUUAUCUAAACAACUUUACCUAAUCAAGCUAAAUCUACAUAUUACCCUAAACCUUAAUUCAUAAACACCCAAUCAAUCCAAUUGUUAAAUCCGAUUUCAUAAUUAAAAAAGCUAAAUUCUAUUUUAUUAUUUAUGGUGCAAAGUAAAAAAUGCCCUUGAAGUUAAGGGUAAAAUUGAUAUUUUAUUUAAAUUUUGUUAAUAUUCUAAUAAUGUUAAUGUCUUAGUGGUUAAUAAAAUCACAAAGUCAAACUUUUGUAGUAUUUUUUAUAAUAAGGUAAAGAUAUAUGUUUGAUAAUUUUCCUACGUCUUUUUACGUUAAAUUGAGUCUCAAGAGAAAAAUGAUUAAUUUGCUACAAUUCUGUCAGUUUUCUGAUGGAAGAUAAUGAUACAAUGAAUAAAUAAUACAUAUUAUUAAAUUAGUGUAGAUGAAUGAUACAACUUGAAAAUAUUGUAGUAUUCUUAAUAGUAGAGAAAUGUAAAGGUGGAUGGUUGAUAAUUUAAUGAAGUAACUACAGAAUUUUCCUUUCAAAUAUUUUUUUAAAAUAUAUGAUGAGUAAAAAUCAUUUUACAGAAUGAUCAUACGCAUUUUGUAUCACAAACGAAAACAUGAACCAACUAUGUAUAGAGUCAAUUAACUAAAGUUCUCAAGAGUUGACCUGUGCUCCUGAAUUCUUGGAAUCAUCAAUCUCCUUCUGAACUUGGACGAAGCUUGGGACAUCAACGAUUACAUUGUUUGCAGAUGGAAAUGGGAUCUGAUAACCCGCAGGCCAAAAGUUGAUGAGGUUUGGUAAAUCUGACAGUAUCAAGUCCCCAAGUUCAUUCAUAACAAUUUCAUUGUACUCCGUGACGUCUGCUCCAUCUUUAUGCCAGAAUACUUCUUCUAAUUCAUCAUUACCUAUUAUCCAUAUGUACUUCAGUUUUUGAAGACUUGGAGCUACGCUGAUAUGAAAUAGAUGCUUUAGUUUGGGGCAAUAACCGACAGAGAUCCUUUUGAGUUUUGGGAAACAUACAGGUUGGAGAUGAUCCUCAUCCUCAUCCUCAUCAAUGAUUUGCUCUAAUUCGAAGCAAUUCCAAACAUAUAACGCCUCCAAUUGCAACAGAUUUCGAGC
rnacentral:lncRNA from 1 species